rnacentral:lncRNA from 1 species
GCAUGCUUAAGUGUCCACUCUUCAGCAAUAUGACUAGUUUCAAAAUAGUAAUAUUCAUAUUAUUUUUUUAGUUUUAUUAUCUGAGGAAUUGAAUUGAUCAACUUCCAAGAGAGAAAAAACUUUAAUCUGAUAAAAUUGUGAGUCACAAAGCAAAUCUCAGUAUAUCCACGAUAACUUUUGAUGAGAGAAAGGAGAAAUUCAUGAUUGAGAAGUACCCAAUAAGAACUUUUUGUUGCAUGCAAGCUUCAUCCAGAGUAACCCUAGUCUUUAGUAGCUAAAAGGGUAGUGGCUAGAUAAAUUGUAGAAGAUGAAAUUUUAGUUUAGGACUACUUCUUCAAGUAAAGGGUAACCGAUUAACGAGAUCGCAUUUUUCGGUGGCAACCAGACACAAUAUAUAUCACAAAGAAAACAUCCAGAAGAACAAGGAAACCAUAAAAUUUCAUAUGUGGUCCAGUAUAUUCUAACAAAUCCCCAAAACAUGUGAUGUCGCUUUGUCGGCCGAGCUCCCUUACCCUUGUUUUCGUUAUAUUUGGAUUCAUUUCCACACUACAUAUUGUUGAGAAAGUCCCAUGGUCUCAAUCAACAUUACUCAUUAAUUUUACAUGUGAACUGCUAUAGUAAUCUGCUUUUUUGGUGAAAUGUUUGGACAUUGCCUCAGCUGACUCUGGUCUUACUACCAUAUUGCCCCAGAAAGAUGUUCUGGCGACUUGUAGGUGAGAACAUCAGCGUUCUGUGCCUGAAAAACUUCCAAGUUUGCUCCAACCAUUUGAGCGAAGCUAUGCUGAUAAGUUUAGCAAUUAAUGAAAUUAAGAGAGUAGGUCUAGGACAAAUCUGAAGUUGAUUUCUUUUUUUAAAUUUUUUGGCCAUCACGUUAAAACAAUAGUACAAGGACAAAAUUAAGUGACUGUUUAUAAAGAAAUUGUGAGAGAUAAUAUUUUUCAUAAGCUCAAUUCAAAAAUAUCAUUUAUUAUAAUUUUAAUUAUUUUUACUCAAUUUUUGACAUGACUAGACAACAAUGCUCUUUAAAUAAUUUCAGACAAAUUAAAAUAGUUUCAGUUUUCUUUAUCUCGUCAUCUAGAAAAAAAUUUUAAAAUUAAAUCUUAAUUUCUCUCUCUUACCAAAUAUUGUCUAUCUCGCCAUGUAGCUCUUUUUCGCUAUUUCAAAGAACAAAAAUGAUAUCAAGGUAUGUGUUUUAAGUUCUUGAGUUUAUUUGUUUAUAUUCAUAAAACCCCAAAGUUGAGAGAUUGAAAUUAAUUAGACAUAUCUAUAAAUUAGAACACUAUAUAACUUUAGCAACUUAAACCUAGACGCGAGUAAGCAAAUCAAUGAAUUAUUAGAUAUUACAUUACUGGUUUUUAGACAUUAUGUCACUGGUUUUUAGGUUAUUGUGAGAUUAGUUUUUAGGCAUCGCAUGACUAUUUUUCAAGCAUUACAUGACUAGGUUGUCAGCAUUGUGUAACUGAUUUUUAGGUAAUACCUAAGUCACACAAUACCUAAAAACUAGUCACGCAAUGCCUAAAAAUCGGUUACGCAAUAUUUGAAAACCACAAAAACUACUAAAUUUCAUUUAACAAAACUAACAAAUACAAACAACACAUCAUAUUUCAUUUAACAAUAUAAUCAACGAAUAUACCUACUUGACGAAAAAUGCUCAUAAUACUCAAAUGUUUUUUUUUAUGUAUCAAAAACCACUCUAAAAUACUUAAAAUGCUCAAUACACUUAAAGGUUUUUCUUCGUAUAUCAAAAAUCACUCAAAAAUGCUCAAAAUGCUUAAAGGUUUUUUUUUUCAACAAGAAAUACUCUAGAGAUAAAUGGUCUGGCGAAAAAAGCUCAAAGAAUAAGAGUCGGUUUGAGGCACGGAUUUAAACAUAUGCGUCAGUUUCAUUAAGAAUAAUUUUAUUUAAAAUUAAUUUCUCUUAAUUAAAAAUAAUUAAAAUUAUAAAGAGGAUUAUUUUCAAAAAUACCUUUUUUUAAAAAAAAAAAUCCUAUUUAUAUCAUCUUAUGUUACUCAGAUCAGGUUGAAAAGGCAGUUGACAUUAUGCAUUAAGCAUUUUCUUCAUGAUUGAAGAGAGAAAAAGAACAAAGCAGAUCCAAGCUGCUUUAAUUUGUAUACUAUAAGAUACAUAUUACUUCUUCUUCCUUUUACUUUUGUGUAUAUUACUUGAAGUUUCAAAAGAGAGUUAUCCUCUUCCUUCUUUAAAAAGGGUAACAACGUUUGACCAAUUCCAGGUUAUUAAAGGAUCAAAAUUUUCAAAACUCAAAACAAGAUGAAGAAGAAAAAGAAAGAAUUGUGUUUUUUGAAAGUUACACAACUAUAUAUUCAAAGCAUUUGCCCAUGAUCAUGAGUUUUUUUUUUUUUUUGAAAGAAGGGGGAUUCGAAUUCAUAUAGAAAUAUCAUGCACUAAUUAAUGAACUAUAUAUUUGGGUACAUUUAGGGCUAUGAGAUUGAAAUAUAUAACAUAAAAAAAUGAAAGAUAAAGUCUAAAUUUAUUAUUUUAAAUAGAAUAGUAGAUCAAAUUUACUAUUCAUCUUUGAACAAAUGUAAUUUUUCAUCAUUGUGCCUUCUAAGUUGAUUUAAAAAUAAUUAAAUAUUAGAAUAUUUUGAAGAAUAUUCUUUUAUUUCUUAAGAGAAUAUAUUUUUCUCGUUAAUUUUUGUUACUUUUUAAUUAAAUUUAAAAAUACAAUAAUAAUAGUGCAUCUAUUCACGAAUGAAUGAUAAAUUUGAUUUAUCAUCUUAAGUAAGUGAAAAAUUUGAAUCGUGUAAAAAAAAAACCUUUGUAACCCUACAAAAUAUGGCUGCAUAUCCUUCCUUCCUUUUGCAUUAAUUUUUAAUAACAUGCGUCUAAGCAUGUUCAUAUUUUUUUCAUAUAAGGAAAGAUUAAUUUAAUACAAACAGGAUCUUGUUGAAGUAAUAUAUCAUUUGUGUCUCUUAUUUUAAGAUUACUUUUCUUCUUGACGUCUACAGAUAGACAACAGAGUUUCAUUUGUUACAAGCUAAACUACAAAUUCCGGCGGAAAAAAUGCAAAAGUAAUGCAUUAGGUCUUGUCUACCUGCUACAUACACCCUAUCAAAACACUAAUUUUGGAAGCCUCAAAAGAAUAAGAUUGCCUGAAUGAGCUGGUUAGGACUUUGAAUUAAACAAUUAAUUAAUAGUUUACCAAGUAAAGACAAAAGCAAGCUAUACAAGUUAGCUCCAUUUUAAAAACUGUUCUACUUAAAAAAUGCUGAAGUAAACGACCCACAAUAGUUAGUUUACCUAGUUUAAUUUAUAAUUAAAAGUGAUGUCUACUUGUAACCAUAAAAUUUUCUAUUUAAUAAUAAACUUUCUAUGUUUACACUGUAAGUAAACCAUGGCAGAUGAAAGUAAUUGAUUGAAUGAUUCCUACACUAAAGUAAAAUAUUAAUAAAUCUUAGGGAAAAGAUUUAAAUUUGCCAUUUUUCUUAUAAUAGUAUUUACAAUAAAUGAAGAAAAGUAUUUGUCUUUAACCAAUAUAUAUUAUUUUUGGGUGAUACUUCUUUUACCCGACAAUCCAAUAAUUUAAGUAUUCACAAAUAAGUUAAGAAAAUAAAUAAUAAAUUUAUUAACAUUUAGCUUUUGUGAGUAGUCGAAAUUAAUAAUUUUUUUAUGAAGGAUUAAUUAGGAGAAAUGUCCACUAUUACAUGCGGUUGAAUUUUUAUAGAUGAAAGUCGGCCCACAUGGCACCUCCCCGACAGAGUAGCCUUAUGGGAUGUUUUGUUGUUGGCCAAAGGAAUAGCAUUCAACGUGAACUGGCAGUGUCCACCUGGCCGAAUUAACUGCCACGCCAUACCUUACCGACUCAGGAUAAUGACGUCCACGUGGAGUGGCCUCCCCCUUGGGCAACGAAGGACAAUGCUGCCAUGUCAGCAUUUAGGCAAUUUGGGUGACACAAGAGGUGACUUCCAGCGUUGUCUGUCACCGUCACAUUAAAUUCUAUUGUUUCUUGUGACACGUGGGAUUGGCCCACUUUGUCUCAAUCAGAUGCUGACGUGGUAAGAUGUAAUUCAUUCCCCCAUUGAAUGCCGCAACUGCUACUCUGCAAUUUAUCUAUCGCGUAAUUAUUUUUUUCUUUUUUCCUUUUUCACUAACAUCCGUUAUAAUAAAUUUUCACCCAUAAAUUAAAUCAUGCAUACCUAUUUAUUAAUUUGUCCUAUAUUUAUUUUUUUACACGAUAUUCAAAUUAAUAGACGCAAAAAGUAACGAGCAAUUUUUUUUUUGAUGAUUACUCGAACAAGAUAACAUAUCAUUAGAAUAUUUCGUAAAAUAUUUUAAUUUCAUUAUUUUUCCUUAAAAAUUUAACAAAAUUAAAAAUACAAUAAAAAAUUUUGCAAAUUACAUUAAUAAAACAUUUCAUAAAAUAUUCAGUUCCCAUUACUUUGUUAAAAAGAAACUAAAAUAUAAUGAAAAUAUUCAAUAUUGAAUCAAAAUAUAAUAGCAAAUUUGAUCUUAGUCCCCAACAAAUAAUAACUACUCUAACAUUUUACAAAAUUUGCUUAACCAACUUUCUUACACCUUCCUAAGUCUCAACAAAUUUGUGAUUUUUAUUUACCAAAUGAACCCUAAUGACAUAUAAAAGACUAUUACAUAAACUUAAUAAAAAUAUCUACUCAAAUUAUCUAAUGUAUAUCAUUUAAAUUUAAGCACAAGAGAUUAAAUGUACAUAUUUUCUUGGUAUUUUUAUAAUUCUAUAAUUUUAGAUAUGCAAUGAUAAUUAUCCACCACUAAUUAAGUAGGGUCCACUUAUAACAUGCAAGUUCCUUAUCACAAAUACUAAAGGAUUAAACUGUAUGAGUAUAACAAUUAAAUUUGUUGUUUCAAUUACUAUUAGAAGCUGGUUUUUUGUUUGACCCCUUAAAUUUAUGUAUUCACUAUAAAAAAAAUGGGAAGAGAUAAGUUCAGGACAUAUCAAGACAUGUUAUCUGAAAUACAUUACCAAUUUAAGAUCUCAAGUAUGGUGGCCACUACUGAGAUAAAACGAGGCUCUAUGUUUUUUUUCCCUGUUAUUUCUUGUAAAUGCUCUUUGCACAGAGAAUCUCAUAAAAACCAAAUUCAGACUAAAAAGAGGGGAAAACAAAAGUUAUGGAUUAGAUCUGUCAAGGAGUCCCAUCUCUUACAGUUGCAUUAAUCUGGCAAGUCUAGGCUGUUGUGUCAAAAGGCUCCAUGCAAGACACCCAUAUCUAUUUGAUCUGAUUAGUCAUUUCAGAUGGAAUACCCCUAUUGUUUUAGGUUUUGGCAGAAGGUGAAAAUGCUGUUGACUUCCCUAAGGAAGUGACAUCAAGGGCUUACAGGUGAUGGUACAAUAUGUACAAUCAAUAGCAGUACUAAUUAGUUGUCUAAUCCUAACCCUAAAAAAAAUUAGUUGUCUAAUCCUACAUGAAAACUUCACUUGAUUGCUUGAAUUUUAAAAUGAAAUUGAUAACAGUAACAAAGCUUUGUGUGAAGGUGUUGGAACAGGGGGGCAAAGUCUAAACCAGGAAUCAGAAAACCCUCAAGCUACUCCAAAAGGGUAGGGCAGUUAAGGAAAUGCAAAAGCCAAAAUGUUCUUGUUUCUCAUUCUUUGAGGUUAUUUCUAAAAUUUCUUGUCUUUCUUGGGUUUCAUUCUGACACUUAAAACUUGAACAUAGGGGAGAGCAUCCCCAUUAAUUAAAAAUACAACUAUGUCCCCCAAUAGGCCUAUAGAGUCCAUACUAGAGCAUCCUAAAACAAGACCCACACACUAUCCAUAAUUGAACAAUGGGGUAGUGGGGGUGCCCAAAUGAUUAGUCAUUUUCUUAGACAAAUUAUAGCUUCAUCACUUCAGAAAAGAAGGGAAAAAGGCAAAGAAAGUGGAAGAAAACUCUUUUUUAUUUAAGUUAAAAUCGGAAAACUCCAUGUGGGUCCCAACAGCCAAGUAUAUAUCAAGGCAGGCACUUCCCAUGCUAUGGACAAUUCACAAGCUUUCUAACACUCAAGUUCCAACACCAAGAAGGAAGAAUCAGAAACAAAAACUGAAACAUACGUUUUUUUCCUGACCUUAGAAUUCCAUAGCAAUUAAUCAUUUCUCUGCUCUUCAAAUGAGGCCUUUCUGCUUAGCAGUCUCCCUUCUGCUGUUAUGCAUUUUCCUUUCUAGUGUUCAAGGUAUAUGCCAAGAAAUCUUUCUUAUUUAUAACGAACAGAUCUCCUGUUUCUGCAUUGCCAUUACAGCAUGAUUAAAUUCUGAUAUCUUAUGUUUUUUUGUGAAGGGAUUCGCUUGGAGAAAAGUUUCAAGUCAGCAAGGCAUCCUAAAUUGCAUGUCAGUAUCCAAAUCUUUCAAGAUUUAUUCAUUCGGUGCAAUACAUUGAAUGUUUUUGGGAUGGAACAUUUUUUACUUCUAUUCGGUUAUCCUGUCCCACUAUUAAAGGUGUAAAAACUGUUGCUAUAUGCAGGAGGGUACUGUGAUGAAAACGAGUAAUGAAGUUAUGGGAGAGGUCAUUCUCUGCAAAGAAGGGCACUGUUCAGGUACCAAGAAGAAAAAAGCCUCUAGAGUAUUGAACAAAUCACACCACUGGCUACCAAGCAUUCAUGAAGAUUACUAUGGACCUAGGAGGCACAGGGCAAAGCACCAUUAAAUAUCCCCUCCCCUAGGAUAAAUAUUCUUCCACAUUUUUUACUACUAGGCCUAGCUAGUAUAGUACUAUUCUUUUCAAAACAUUUGAACCCAUGGCCAUGUAAUCUGACAAAGCAGUUUUGUCCACAAAAUAAGAAGCUUCUCAUGAUUAAUUCUCUUUGAGUUGGAUCAACUAUAUAGAUGUUUAUGGGGCACUUUGUGUAAGAAAUGUGUGGUAUAUAGACACCAAAGUUUAUCAAUCAAAAAUUUUAGGAAAGCCCACGUUGUCCUGUCUUGCACCAAAUCCAACAUUCAUGUCUAAAGCGGAUUUUCACAUUCAUUUUUGCAGGAAAGAGUAGAAAACUUUCGUCUGCAAUGACUUCUAGUGCUCCUACAUCUACCACUACUUCCAAGGUUGGUUAAUAGUUACUAGUUAAUAUCGAAAUCUCCAUACCUAGGGUUUAGAUCUUCCCCUAAAUGACAUUAUAUGCUCUCCAUGUAUACAGAGCGAAGAGAAUGGAGAAAACAAAGCUAACCCUACUUCAAAAGUCAAAUCAGGCAACGAAGAAAAUGGUGAGAAGCAAGAGAAAUUCCCUGUUGGUUCACCGACAAGUUCCGAACACCAGGAGGUCCAUGACCAAUAUGCCGACAUUAUGGACAUAGCUGAAAUGGACUACUCUCCAGCCAGGAGAAAACCUCCAAUACACAACUAAGAGUAGGGAAGAAAAACAAGACAGAGAAAAAGAAGCCACAACGUUUUCCAGCACAAUAAAAGUAAUAGAAAUGGGACAGCAUUCCAGAAAUGCUGCAGUUUUUAUAGGGUUUAGGAAGAUUUGUGUACAUAGAAUAUUUUAUUAUCAUAGUUAUUGUUAAAACAUCACUUUUGAUGAUUGAGUCACGAUGCACCCUUUUGGGGGGGGCACUUUAGGCCUUGUAACCUCACAUAUUAUAGAAUGAAAACUUACUAAUAACAUCAAAAUUUAUGGGUUUAAUUAAUUGUUGGAUAUACAGUGAUAAAUUAAGAUAUAACUUAGUUGAUUAAUACAACUCUCUGAUUUUAGAAACUAAUUAAGUUCAUUCUUUCACUUAUGCAGAGGUUGGAUGAUGAUCUAUAUCUUAACUAUAAAAAUGGGAUGUGGACAGAAUUUAAUAAAAUUGUACAAAACAAGCGUAAAAGGUGCAGAUGGGGGGACCUAAGAUUUUUUUAAAGAGAAACUUGUGUUACCGAAACAAACAUGAAAGAGGCCUGUGUUAAAUGAAGUAGGUGUGGAGCCUUAUCUGAAAUUGACCCCUUGUGUGUUUUCUUUACUCGGUAAGUGGCCCACCAGGGAUUUUGGGCUAGACCCACCAUGUUUCACUUCUUGAUUAUAGUGUUCAAAUCGUCAGUGGUCACUCUUACAUGUGGGCUCACAUGUCCUCACUUGGGUCACCUAUGCUUCGGUCACAAUAGCCUAGACUGCGGUGGACCAUGCAAACGAAGUAAUGCCUCCAGGUAUGGUCUCUUUAACGUGUUUUCGGACAGUGUUCCCCUGUUGGCUCGACAUAUCAACUUGUUUCGGCUAUAAUUAUGUGAUUGUUUGGCUCGGUUCUUUUUCAGUUUCUUUAAUUUUUAAAAGGAAAAAAUUAAAUUAAAUAGAGUUUUUGAAAAGUUUUUGAGAAAAAAACUUUUUUUAUAAAAUAAAAUUAAAAAAAAGUUAAAAAAAUUCAGAGAGGAGUAUUUUUUUUAAAAAAAAUACAUUAGUUUUUCAAAAAAUAUCUUUCUCUCAAUCAAUCUCUCCCUCUCCUCUUUCCCUCUACAAAUCACCAUUUUUCAACACAAAUCACAAUCUUCCUCUCGUUUAUCUCUCUCUAUAAAGAUUACUAGAAAACAAAAGUCUCAACAAUUAAAAUUUAAGAUUUUUUUUUUGUUCUUAUAAAAAUUAAGAGAAACUAAGAUUGAAAAUUCAAAGUUACAUUCAUAUAAUAUUUAAAGAUUUUUUCUCUUUUACACCCAAAAAGAUUUUAAUGUCAAUUACAUCGUUUCUUUUAUUUUCUUCUUUUUUGGAGAAUUGAAGCAUCAUGAUCCGAUUGCUUGUUAUAUGAACAAAAAUCGAAUAUUAUUAAUUUUGAGAAUUGUUUUGUUUUUUUAUGGAUUUCAUUGAUUUUAACAUUUGAAAUCGUAUAUAAAGUCAAAGCAAAUUUGUUCUUCUUUAGUUUAUUAGGUGAUUGAAAAUGACAUGAAUAUCUUUUAUGAUAAUUUUUGUCAAAAUUAAAUUUUAUAUAAUUUAUUUUACCAAACAGCUUACUAGGCAGUUUUAACUUAAUUUUAAAAAUUAUUAUUUUUUAUAAAAAUUUCAUAAUAAAACUGGUAAACUGAUAUUAACUUUCAAGAAAUUUAUUUAAUUUAACUUCAUCCGAUUAAAAAACAUCAAUCUCUAGAACUAGAACGUGAGUUGAUCCGAACUUGAAUAACAUAAUAUUCAAUUUAAAAUGAUUGUAAUUUCAAUAAUUCAUUCGAAUUUAAUUCAAUUUGGUUUUUGUAAAGUCAAUAAUUUAAACUUGUUACGAGUUGAAUCUAAAUAAUUUGAAUGUCUAAACUAAAUUACUUAAUAUAAACAUAAAUCCAAAAUGAUAAGAUUUUAAAUAAUUCAAACUUAAAAAUGACUUGAUCAAAAUGAAUUGGCUUGACUCAAAUUAAAUUAUCACGUCUAAUUGCGUAGUAGUCAGUGACUCCAAAGAAAAAUUGCACAGCAGUUUUACGGAAGUUACUUUUAUUGCUGCUAUGAAAAUUGGUAAAGAAAUAAUUUCUUCCAUUGUCAAGUAAUUGAGGGUUGGAAACAGCUAUUUGACGUCUAAUUUGGUGCAAGGCACACCUUUUCUUUAGUGUUAGAUCUCUUUAAAUACAAUUAGGUUACAUGCUUAACUAACUGUUAAAAAUCUUUGCAUAAUGCUCCUCCGAUUAGAGAAUGACUUGUUAUACUUGUAAAUCUCAAAACAGUACUCUUACAUUGUCCCUAAGCUGCUAGGGCAUUAAUUGUAAUUUAUAUCUUUGUUAAAAGGACAUUCGGUGAUUAGUCAUUAAUAAGAUUGAAAGUUCAAGUUACAAAACCUCUAUACUCUUACUAUGAUAAACAAAUAACUUGGUUCAAGCAUUAGCAUGCCAUGAUGGGAAGAAGGAAAAGCUUAAACAUGUUUUCCAUGUUGUCCGCACAACAUGUUCGGCCCCUGUCAAAGUUUUAACCUUUUUUUAAUCGACGUUCAGAAUGCCCAAGAACUCAUCAAUACACAUGGAAAUAAUACCAACAAGCAAGUCUGUUUCAACGAUGAGAUACAAUACACAUGGUCCUUAGAAUGUGAUGGGCUGAUGGUGAUAGAAGGCUGAAGAGUUGUAAAGAGACACUCUCUCCGACCUAAAAAUCAAUCCAUCGUGAACAGGCCGCAACCUACCUACAAAGGCUACAACCUUUAUGGCUCUACUUUCAACAGACAAUAUUCAUUCUCAAAACGAGUGCAGAGGACGGAUUUACUGUCCAGGAAUUUGGCAGUUAGCCACUCAGAUAACAGACGAGCUGGCAGAUUAGGUAGAAACAUCGAGGCCCCAGAGUCUAUUCGUGACUCUCUCCUGAUGUAUUCGAAUGGAAUCUAGAGUUCCAGCAAGGCUGCUUGGUAGCUGCUAGCAAAUUCCGGGUGAUGCUACAAUGCCGUCUUGCAUAAGCAGCCUUGAGGCCUGCAUACAAUUCAGAGUUCACGAUGUUCAAGUCUUAACUCGUAAGGCAUUACGCUGCAUUCGGCAUUAUAGAAAAGUAUGAAAAUCUCUAGAGUUUACCUAGAGUGAAAACAUCAUUCACGCUUAGUGAAAUACUAGAGAACAACGAAAAUUUUCAAUAAUCAACUUAAAAUUCAUGAUACUGUAAUAAGAAAAAGUGUGAAAUAUAAGUUCUCAAAUGUCUGAUGCAUGCACCUUGGGUGUUAAAUGUAAGAGAAAGGUCAACCAACAAUGAUCUAAAGUUCAUAUUGGUAGGUGUGCACAAAGAAAGCAUUUUCAAAGAAAGACUACAAGUCAAUCACUAAUUCAAACAUGGAAAGACUGAAUUAUCACUUAACUAUUGCGUUAGUGGCUACAUGAGAAUACUUAAUUGAACACAUUUCAAGUGCAGCUUACUUUGAAAGCAAAGAAUAAUCUACUUCGCUCAUUAAAAGAAGAAAUCAGAAAUGUGAGUUAAAAAGACAGAGCAAGAAAAAUACAUUUGAAGUCAACUGUUUCUUUCCUUUUCUUUUUCCCUCAAAACACAGUUAAAAAAGAUUAGCCAAGAAGGAAACUUUUCCAGUUGGGAGGAACAAACAAAAUUGAGCAUAGAUUUGAAGAACCAUGCGUUGCUCAGGACUGCUGGCAAUGGAGCUCCAUUAGAUUUAACAGUCAAGGAAAAACUAAAGCCAAGAUAUUUAAUGGUUUCAUAAGAACAGAGAAGCAUAUUUGGUGUUCGAGUACAGAUUAAAACAUUUGUGGCAUCACCAAAGGAUCUUGGAAACUAUAUACAAAAUAAUAAAAACAAAAUUUAUGGAUGAACUGUGUGCAAACAAAGAAUUGUGGUUAAACUAUUAGAAUGUAACGCAGUCAAUGCAAAAGGAUAAAUGUUCAGCAUAGAUGCUCCUAUAAUUGUUUCCAAACAGUUGAAUAUAAGUGAAAUACAAUAGUUUGAUUUGACAACACUGGAGCAAUUUCUACUUUCUACUAAGAUGCAUGCCAACCAGGAAUAUUUGAGGUUAAAGCUGAAAAAAUAAAAGAUAAGUCAAUGGGGGGCUCAUCCACCCUCUUGAUCUAGAAAUACUACUACGUAACUUCUUUUCUCCAUCCUCUUCUGCCCCCCCUCAGAAAACGUCAGGAUGAUAGCAACUGAAGAGAGUACCAAGCAGAAUUAAGGGGCAAAUUCUUAUAUAAAGAAAACGGGAUUUUACAAGUGCUUUGGCAUAAAAUACUAAAUUAGUGUGCAAAGAAAAUUUUCACCUUAUAUAAGGUUCUACAAAGCUACCAAGAACUUCCACGAUUCAUCGUUUACCCACCAAAGCAGUUUUUGAGAUCGCCAAUGAACAUAGACUUGAUGUCUGCUGAAAGGUUUUAAGUUAUGACCUGCAAAGAAGGAAGAAUGGCAACCAAUAAUACAGACAGGUCAACAUCUUACAAUUUUGAGCAGCAAAAUGAUUCUUGAUAAAUCUUAAAUAAUCUUAACAUCAAAAUGUCUCAUAAGGUUUUACAUAUAUGUAUCUUAAGCAGCGGCGAUAGAUCUCAAAAGGUUAUCACAGCGAGUAAAGUGCUUCAGUGAUUUGAAGUCCGAAAGUCAAAUCUCCAAGCAAGCCUGUGACAAGUUUGAGAAGAAUAUGCCUGUUCAAAUAAAGACACUGGAGAAUGACCGGCAUUAAGCACCUUGAAUCUUUACCAUCAUCUUGUUUUCCUAUAAAUACUCUCCAACUUAAUUCUUUACUCUGACAUGUCUUCAAAUGGGAUUUCCUCUGGCUAGACAUCACAAAUAAAUUUUCUCAUCUUUCUUUUCUAAUAAUUUAGCCAACCCACACAGUGGGAAAAGGCUUAAUUAUUAGUUGUGUUGUUGGUUGUAUUUGUUUUCUAAUAUUAAUACUGUAAUCCAUUAUUUUCUGCGAUCAAGCAAAGGGAACACUGAUUGCAGAAAAUAUUCAGCUUCUUAAGGAACUAAACAAACUCUCCGAGAGAAGACCCAAAUGAUUAAAACUUCAGACUCCAAUUUGGAGGUCUCUGAUUUUAAACCCUAUGAUAGGAGGGAUGAAAUUUGUGGAAUGAAAGAAGGCUCCCUCCUGUUGCGCAGUCAAAAAUGAUAGAUAUUAGAAAAUAAAAUAAUUGUUUUCACAAACUAAGGGUGCCUUUGUUUUGAAGUAAAAUCUUUACCGGAAAACAUUUUCAGGAGAUAAUGGCAUUUGGAUGACUGAAAUAGAAAUCUUAAGACAAAAAAGUUUUUAUGGGUCAACAUGUAAAAUUAGGGAUGGUAAUGAGUACCUUAUUACAGGGUAUCCGUGAAUAUUUGACUUGGUUAUAUGGGGUUAAGGUAUCUUAUAAUUAAGUUUGUGAUGAAUUCGGGUAGUGAUUUCACUAUCUGAAUUGAGUUCAAGUAAGGUUCAGCUAUCACUCCUUGAGUACCCGUUACCCGAACUCGAUUACUAUUAAUGAAUAUUUUAUUAUUAUUUUAAUAAUUAAUUUAAAAAUAUACAAUUUUUACUAACUUUACAAGCAAUUUUUUUUAUUAAAAAUUAACAAAUAUAUGAAAAAUAUGGUUACUCUAAUUAUUAAAAUGAUGACAUUAAUAUAUUUAAAUUAAAAAAUUAUAUUGUUAAUCAUGUUUAAAUAAUAUGAAUAUCCAAUCGUAUUAUAAAAAAAUAUAAUUACUAUUAUAAUAUAUAUAUGUAUACUUUUAAUAUAAAUUUAUUUACUUUCUAUUUUGUGUUUUAACAUUACAAAAAUUAUGACUUAUCAAAUUAUUAUUAUAAUAUGUAUACCAUUAUUUAUAUAAAUUGAUAACAUAUAUAAUCAAAGAGAACUUCUGAGAUUAGAAUAGUUUUGAAAUCUAACUAUUUUUUGUAAUUUCAUAAAAUUAACGACAAAUCUAUAUAGUUAAUUAAAUUAAUUCUUGAAACUAUUAUUAUUAAUUAACUUAUAAUGUCUUUCAAUAUAUAUACUUUAUAUAUUGUGUUAAUUUAUAAAAAAUAUAAUUACUAUUAUAUAUAUACUAAAAUACUUUUAAUAUACAUAUACACUUUAAAUAUAAACAUAUUUACACUUUAUUUUGAGUUAACAUUACAAAUUAUAACUUAUAAAAUUAUUAUAAUAUAUUUAACUUUGUUUAUAUAAACUUAUAAUAUAUAAACUUAAAGAGAAGUUGUGAGAUUAGAAUAGUUCUGAAAUGUAGUUUUUUUUUUAAUUUCACGUAAUUAAGAACAAAUUCGUAUAAUUAAUUAAAUUAAUUCAUAAAGCUAUAAUUAUUAAUUAACUUGUAAUAUCUUUUAAUAUUUAUACUUUUUAUAUAUUAAGUUCAUUUAUAAGGAAUAUAGUUACUAUUAUAUAUAUAUAUAUAUAUAUAUAUAUAUAUAUAUAUGAGUGUGUGUGUGUGUAUGUUCUUUAAAUAUAAAUAUAUUUACUUUCUAUUUUGUAUUAACAUUACAAAAAUUAUAACUCAUAAAUUAUUAAUUACAAUAUAUAUACCUUUGUUUAUAUAAAGUUAUAACAUAUAAAUCUAAAGAGAAGUUAUGAGAUUAGAAUAGUUUGAAAACUUAGUUAUUUUUUUAAUUUCUUGUAAUUAAGGAUAAACUUAUAUAGUUAAUUAAAUUAUUUAAUAAAACUAUAAUUAUUAAUUGACUUGUAAUGUCUUUUAAUAUCUAUACUUCAUAUUGGGUUUAUUUAUAAAAAAUAUAAUUAAUAUUAUAUAUAUAUUAAAACACUUUUAGUAUAUAUACACUUUAAAUAUAAAUAUAUUUACUUUCUAUUUGUGUUAACAUUAUAAAAAUUAUAACUAAUAAAUUUAUUAAUUAUAUUUGAGAUAUUUAUUUUUGAUUAUUUACAUUUAAAUAUUAUUAUUUGUGUGUUUUAAUUAAUUUAAUUAUUAAUAAAUUAUAUAGAAUAUGUAAGAGAAAUAUUAUUAUAUAUGAAUACGAAUUCGAAUUCGGGUAACUGGGUACCUAUAAAUAGUAUUUUAAUAAUUUUUUUACAUAAUCGAGUUUUUAAAUUGAUUAGGGUAAUUAUAGGAUAGUGAGGAUGUAUUAAGGUUAGAAUUAGGAUAGUAAUUUUAAAAAAUAUUAGGGUAGUUCAUAGGUUCGGAUAAGUUAUUUUUUAUAAGGUUUGGAUUCGAGUACCUCAAAAUUAAGGGAUACCUUACCUGUUGAUAUAUAUCCUUAUGUAAAAGACUCGCUGACUCCGAAAAUUAUCUUAUGUCUUUGAGGGACGUAAGACGAUUUCCACCACACUAAAACAAAAGACUCAUGUUUCUUUUUAAGCAAGAAAUUUUAUGCUUUAAUUGAGCUUUUCAUUUUAAGUUUGUUAUCCCUAACCUUUGACAUGGUUUGAAUAUCUAUUUUUUAUUUCCUUCAAAAUAAUAAAGUCUCAAAAAGGUAUCCUUGUAUUUCCUUUUAAAUAAUAGGACUCUGUGGCUUAAAAGCCUUAAAAUGACAUGAUUUGAAUAUCCACAUUUUAUUCCUUCAAAAUAAUAAGAUCUCAAAAUGAUAUCUUUUUAUUUCCUUUAAAAUAAUAAGACACUUGCACAUUUGAGUUAAAUAUUUUUUAAAAGAUGGUCCAAACAACCGAAAAUGUUUUAGAUGGUUAUUUAAACAAUAGAAAAUAUAAAAAAUUUUCCUUAAAUAACUUAUUUUACGAUUACCAAAUGUAUCCUAAUAAGAAAAAAAAAUCUAAAAGUUAAAAAUAUUCCUAAACUUUGUAUCUGAAAUGUAUCCUGCGUAUACUUAGCAUUAAGUAUAAUAGGACUUUGGGUUUCUUGUUUUUUGUAAUUCUACUUGACAUGCAAAGAAACAAAAUUUAAUAAUUUUUUUUUUCAAUCUCCAAGCAGAUACUUCUCCUGCUGCACCACCAUAUGCAACAACAUCCAUCUCCAUGAUCUUUGUAAAUGGGUCCUUUACAUAAAGAGAAAAAGUGUUGUAAAUAAGCAAAUGAUGUAUUAGAGGCGAGAGAAAAAUAUUGAAACAGUUCUUGAAAUACUGAAUGUUGUGAUUGGUGAAAAAGAAUAAGUACGUAAUAGAGUGGAGAAUAAGUAGAGAGUGAGUGAGUAUAGUAAUAUUAAGUGGAGGAGAAUUAAGUAGAAGAUGAUCACAGAGAAGCUUAGAGUGAAAUUAUGUUAUUCCAUUUUCUCCCUAAAUUGAAUUGUGAAGACUUCAUAUAUAGAGCCACACGAGACAUUCACUUAAGAAUAGACCUCAAUACACAUAAUGGAUAAUUGUUAUUGAAACGUAUUAUGUGGAUAUUAAAAUAAUAAUUUUAUUGUAUCUAUUUGUUUUUUUUUUACUUAAAAAAUAACUUUUUUAAAGAAUAAAAUUAAAACAAAAGUUUCAGGAAAAACUUAAAAAAUAAGUUUUCUCUUCACUUCUUUUAAAAACAUGCUAGUUGUAGGCACUUUAUUUUUCCUUUUCUCAUUUUUUCGUUAUUGGUUAUUACGUAUUUGUUUUAUGUUAAAUAAACAUUACAGAGGAAAAAAAAAGAGAAAAAAUAAGAAACAAAAAAUGAGAAAAAAAAACAAGAAACAAAAAAAAAUGAAAAGAAAAAAGAAAAAAAAAUGUGUACGACUCUGUGCCAGACGCGAAAAACUCGCGUUUGGCAAGGUAGUGGAGAUGGCACCCGACGGAAAGAGGAGUGUAAAAGCUUUACUGAAGCUACAAGAGACAGACGGCAACUAAAAAACCCAAAAAUCCCUAGUAGCAACCAAAAAUCAAAAAUCCUAGUCUAGCAGCCAAAAACAACCACAAAUCCACAACCAAAAAAAUACAAAAAAAAUAUCAAAAAUAAAAAAAUACAAUGAAAAAGGAGAAUAUGAAUAUAGUUUGGCUUUAGGAUUUUUAGCUCGCCUUUGUAGGGAUAGAUUUUGAGGGGGUUUUGUUGACCGGUUAGGGAGGAAAGUCUUGGGGUAGUGCCGUCGUUUAUACGACAAGGACUGGGUUUGGGUGCCGCCGAUCAGGGAGUGUUUGAGCUUGGGGUUUUGCCACCAUCGGUUAGGAAGCCUAGGUUUUAGUGCCGUCGGCAGAGAGGGAAGCCCGAUUUGGGUAGCCGACGAAAAGGGAGAGAAGGAGAUCUUAGAGAGAGAACCGGUGAGACCGAUUGACGCCAAAGGGAAAAAAGGGGAGGAGACUGAUCGACGCCCCAAGGGAGAGUUGGAGGGUUGAUCGGCUGCAACAAAGGGGAACCCGUGGGGUAGCCCGCGACGGUAGUGAGAAAUGAGAGAGUUUCAAGCUGCCGCUGGGGAUGGAUUAAGAGGUUGAAGGGAAAGGUGAGAUUUGUUAGACAGAAGAGAGAGUGCCGCCGCUAGAGAGAGAAAAUGAGGGCAAAAAUGAAGGCAUGAAGAAGAAAGGGAGUGUUUAUACUUAGAUCUAGACCAAACGACGCCGUUUUGGUGAAGGAAUGUAGACAACUAAAGAGCUUGAAACGACGCUGUUCGGAGGAAGAAGGCUGAAUGCUUGAAGUGGGCAAGCAGGCCGUCUACUGAUCCAGUUUCUCCUUGAGCGGAUCUGGGCUCAAAUUUUGGGUAAGCUUUGGACCUUUGACAUAUUGAGUUUGUAGAUUAAUGAUUGGUUUGAUUGGUUUGAUUGUUUUUAUUUUUGAGAAUUAUUAACAUAAUUUUAUGCAAAUGAUAAAAGUAAUAAUGAUGAUCAGUAUAAAUGAAAACAGAAAGAGAUAUGUUUGUGUCGUAAUAUGAAUGUUAGAAAUAUAGAAAAUUUACUGAAAUAGGAGAUAUAAAAAUAUAUUAGAAUAAACAUUUAGUAAUAGAAAAGAAAAUAUAUAUUUAGUUACAUAAAAAGGAAAAUAAAAUUAGGAAAGAAGUAGAAAAAUUACUUAGUUAUAAAAACAUGGUUAGGUAUACAAAAAAUACAAUAGUGAAAUAAAGAAGUAUUUAGUAAAAAAUGAUAGAUUUAGGCGAAAGAAAGAGAAGAGCAAAAAAGGGGAUAAAUGAACCCAAAAUGAGUAGAGGCUUGAUAUAAAAUAUAUAGAUUAAAUUAAGUAAACGAUGGAAAUUAUUUGCUAAUGGGAGGAUUUGGAUAUAUGAAAAACACAAAGGAACAUAUUAGGUUAUAAAAAUAGAUUUAGUAAAUGAGUGAAAUGGAAAUUAGGGCAAGGUGAAGAAUUAUUCAUAUAGACAAGACAAGUACUUAAUUUUAUACCGAUGAUGGGAUGAUUGGUCGGGAUGCGAGGAAUCACAAUCCCGGACUAAUUUUUCCUAAGUUUGGAACCCAAAUUAAAGCUCUACCAGUACGAUGGGAGGGCAUCGAUUUUGAGGUUUCAAGAUUUUUUAAUUUUAAAUAAAUAAAAACUAUUAUACAAUAAAUUGGUUAAACAAAAUAUAAAUACAAAUGUGGCAUAUAUAAGAGAAUAGAUGACAUAUAUUUAAGUCGUCCAAAGAUAAAAACAAAAACAAAAAUUAUGAAAAUGGUAAUAUUCAUGACAAUAAAUAAAUAAAUGAAUAAAUAACUAAAAUAGUCAAUGAUGGAAAAUUCAAAACAAUAAAUGGGUGUAAGAUAUAAAUUUAAAUAUCUAGUGGUAUAAAAUAUAUUUAAAUAAAUUAAUAAGUGUUAUGAAAAACGAAUAAGAUAGAUAAUAAAAAGAGAAAAAUGGAAUUAAAAUAUAUAUAAUUAUGAAAUAAGAUAUCAUGCUAUAGGUUUGGGAUUAUUUAAAUAGUAAAAAGGUUUACUUAAAUAACAUAGAAACAUAGAUAAUUUAUAAUAUGUAUAACUAUAAAGGGAAAUAUAGAGAAAGAAAAUCCCUAAGAAAUAGCAAGAACGACAUAGGAGAACUUAAAAUAAAAUAAAUAAUAAUAAUAAUAAUAAUAAAUAAAAUAAUAAUAAACUUCACAAGCAUAACAUAUACUUCUAAUGCAUCAUACAUACCAUAGCACAUAGGUAUUCUUGUUCAAGAGUGUAAGUCCCGAUGAUGGGAUUUUUUGAAUAUCUUGCGAAGGCGAGUUUCUCUCGAGAAGCUCUUUAGGUGAAAGGACGUCUUCGGGUCCCACCAGUACGAUGGGAAGGCUCAGGAAACAUCUUUUAUAAAAAGGCUCUUGCUCGUAAUAGGUUUACAUUCAUAAAAAUAUUUUUUUUAAAAAAGCGUAUGAUAACCCCAAUGACAGGAUUUAUUUGUCAAAUUUGCAAAAGCGAAUUUUACGGAUAAUUUUUUAGGUGAGAGAAUAUCCCCGGAUCCCACCAGUAUGAUUGGCGGAUUCGAGAGAAUGUCCUCAAUAAAAGGUUAUUUGUCCAACAUUAUUUGAAUUUCAUACCAUGCAUUUCACAAUACCUCAUGUUCACAUCACACUUUAGAAUCCAAUAAAAUAUUUUAAUAAAAUAGAGACUAAAAUAAAUAAAUAAUAACUAAGGAAAUAUAAUGAAUUUAAGGAUUAAGGCCCCUCAAUAGGAUAAUCUAAAAUUAAAUGGUAUCGUUCAUGGAACAGGUGUCACGGGGGUGUUAAUCCUUUCUCGAGCGUAACCGCACUCAUGAACCUAGUCCUAGAAUACGUAGAUCGGUUUAAAAUUCUCUCGACGAACUUAAAGUCAAUUUAAGAUUUCGUCGAUUAGAAUUGAGUCAAUAGGUGGUCAAUCAGACCUAGAAAAAAGAUUAGUGGUGACUCCUAAUGUUUUCAUCACGUCUAGUGGUCAAGUUUUCGGACUCGCACGUUACGACACUAGCUUUUCAGGAGAAUUUUUUUUUGUUUCAAAAAUGUCCUCAUCUAUUGAAAAUAAUCCCAACAUUAUCCAUUUAUAUUUUUUAUAGAUUUAUUAUUAAUUAUAAACUUUAGGUUAUAUAAAAAAGCUUUUUAUAUUUUCAAAAAUCUGUUUUAAAUAGAUAAAAAAUAAAGUUAACCAUUUUUCAUUGUAAACAAAGAAAUUCGUAAUUAAUAAAAAGUUAUUUAUUAAAUACUCUUUAUGUUAAUUUUAAUGAAAAUUAGAGCUUAUAUAAGUUAUUUUGCUAAACAAUUUAUCUAUAAAAAAAGCUUAUAAAAAUAAAUUUACCAAACAAAUUUAACUUAAUUUUAAAAGUUAUUAUGAAACUCUUAUGAAAACUAAUAACUUUUAAACUAAAAAAAACUAGACCAACAGGCUCUAAGUGUAGAUAGAAAUCUAUUAUGUGACCAUUGAAGCAAUGAGUGUUUUAUAAUCAUUAAUAAUGUAAUAAAAUUUAUUCUUGAGCAAAUGUAAAAAGGUAAAGGUAUGUAUGCAAAUGUACAAAAGAAUAAUGUAAGAGGAAAAAGGUGAACGUAAAAAGGUACAAGAUAAUAAAGUGUACGUGAAAAAGUAUAAAAGAACAAGAUAAGACUGAAAAUGAGAAAUAUAUGGACUUUAGGAAAACUCUUUAGUAAGGGUGAGUACAAUUGGACCAAACUAAUGACCUAGUUGAAUCAAAUUCAAUUUAGGUAAAACAAUUCGGUUCGAUAGGUUCAAAAAGUUUGGUCUAAUUGAUUAUUUGGUUAGUUCUUUAUCCUAAAAUUUUUAGACCGAAUUGACCAAAAGAUCAAACUAAUAUUAUAUAUAAAAAUAUUAUAUAUAUAUAUAUAUUUAAAGUUAUAUAAAAUUUAUAUUUUCCUAUUAUUAAGUUGAUGAUGUGUGAUGGUUGAUUGCCUUGUAUUAAAUGAUCUUAUUUUGUGGAUGUUAAUUUAUUAUCUUUGUUAUGUUGAAUUUUGAAUGUUAGAACUUAGAGUUUAAAACUCUUAAAUACUAAUUUGAUGGCUUAAGUGCAAUGACAUAAAUAUGUAAGUGAAAAGACAAAUGUUAUAUAUUUUUAUAUUUAAAUUAUUUAUAUAUUUUAUAAUUAUGAAUAAAAUUUAUAAAUUUCAAUGUUAUAAUUUGCAAAAGUAAAAAUGACAAGAAUUCGAUUCUUUUGGUCCAAAACUGAAUCGACUGAACUAAUUCAAUGUUUGGUCGAUUCGAUCCUACUUUAAAUUUGAUCGAUUUUCUAAAAAUGUUUGGUCCUUAGUUAUGAUAGAUUGAAAAAACCAAUUGUUCAUCCCUACUUUCUAAAAUAUAUCAAAAAGUGAAAGUAACUCAUAAACUCUGUCACUUAUUUCAAAUUACUUUUACAAAUUUAAGUGAAGUAAUUAUUCCACCUGAAACAAUUAUUCUACUUGUUCUUAUUCUCAUUAUUCUCUAUAUGGCAUUACACUUGAUUUAAAACAAUUCUCAGAAAAAUAAUAAGUUCAUAGUUAAAAUCAAUUAUCAACAAUCUUAGAUUGUGACUAGUCCUUAUCAACGAGUGAAAGUUACAUAUAUACCAGCACAAUCAGGUAAUAGAUACAACGAGUGAAAGUUGCAUUAUGACUUAGUUUUCAUAAUACGAACAGGAUGCAAGGUGAUGGAUUCUACGUCACAGUUUUUCUUCAAGUACACAAAUUUAGACAGCGUAAACUUGGUACAUUGUUUUUACCUUGCUAAAGUUUCAUAAACUACAAUAUUCUCACUUUAUAAGUAAAAAUUUGAUUUCAUAAAAACUAAUGCCCACAAAGUAAUUAUGUUUUCAAUCACUCACUACUAUUCUUAAUGCCUACAGCCACUAUUUUUUAAGUUCUCGCGUGAACCAAAAGAAAAGUGCAUGAGAAAACACUCCAAUUAAAAUUAAAUGUUUAUUUGAAUAAAAAGAUCUACUAAUUCCAAUGUUCACUAUUCUAUCUAUGGUUUGCCACAUAGAAUUCCAAGAACAAGUGACAAAAGAUAUGACCAACGUGAGGGGCAUCUCGAGUGAUGGAUCUAAUGACGAAGAAGAGUGCUAUAGGAGAAAUCUAUAUGUAUUUGUGAUGCUCUACACGAAGUGCUCAAAUAUAUGAUUGGGUGUCCAAAUAAUUAGACAAUAAAGAGAAAAUUCUAGACAAAAAGACACAUGAUAAAAAGAUGAAUAGUAGUAAAUAAACAUCUAGACAUGGUUUCAUCAAAUAUUCUGAAAAGGAUUACUACUUGUGUUGAACACAUAUCCAAAGGAUUGGUGGCCACAUAGCAAUCCACCAUUGGGUUACGUUGCUUUUUACUGACAUGUUACAUAUAUGACGUCUCUCAAUCACGGUUCAAUAACCUCAAAAUUUUAAAGUAAAAUAUUUUAAUGCGAUAUUUUUAUUGAAAUUAAGAAUUUUUUUAAACUCUGAAUAACCUAAAUCAUAUUUUCGACAUAUUCAAAUAUUUAUUAUGAGGUAUUAAAAACAUUUAAAUAUUAUAAUUAUUUUAUAUUUUUUAGAUGGCUAAUAUAAAAUCAAUAAUCAAAAUUUCUAUUUCUAAUAAAUUAACUAUCACAUAAAAUAAAGAUAAUAUAAUAAUAUAAUAUAAACUCUAAAUUAAAGUAAAAAAGUUUACAAAGAUUAUAACAGUAGUAUAUAAUUGUUGAAUGCUUAUUGCAAAUUGUAAAUGAGACCCACAGCUUUAUGAAGAUAAUAACAUAACAUAUUUCUUAUGUAUUCUUUGAAGAAAAUAUGAAGUUAAAGGAAGAAAGAGCAAAUGACGAAAGAAAAAUUCAAAAAUGGAUAUUAUAAAUUGAAAAAAAAAGUAGUUAAGAAGUGAUAAAAAAUUAAGAUUUGUUAGAUACAUAAUUAAAGAAGUACGAAAAUGUCAUUUUAUUAAUUAUUUUUGACUUUUACAUAUUUUUAAUAGAAAAUUAGAUAAUUAUUUUAGAAUUUAUAAAGAUAUGGAAGUGAGAGAAAAAAAUAUUUAUUAAGCAUGAGAGAAUAGGUCAAUAUUCUAUUAAUUAUCUUAAUUUUUACAUAUUUUUAAUAUAAUUAAUUAUAUUAUUAUAAAAAUAUGAGACCUUUUCAAAUUUGGAGCCUAAAAUCUCUGCUUGGGUGGCCUUACCCAAAGGCCGACCCUGAAGUCCUUAUAUUCAAAGCAUGAUCCUGAAUGACAUACGAUCUAAACAGUGAAAAAAAGGUACUCAAUGUUCCAACUCUUUAUCUUAACUAAUGCAAUUUCUCACUUUUCGUCACAUUUCAUUGCAAUGGGAUGCCAAUGCAAUAAUUUAACGCUUACUCUCCUAUUUGACUCGGAUAACAAAGCAAAAUGAAAUUGGCAAUGCAUAAACAACAGAAAAUACUUAUGGCUAUAUAUUAUCAUCUUCAUGAUCCUCAGUAACAUCAUGUUAUUUCUCUACACAUGCACAUCAUUUAAUCAUAAUGCUCAAACCUUAGUGAAACUGUCACGACCCGGUACUCUCAUCGAGCCCGUGACAACCGCCGCAGUGUCCCGGUAGACACUUAUUGCCCGGAAUGUCAACCCGAAACCCCGCAAGGCUUUACUAUCAGUUUCUCUGUUCCCUUGUGAGCAACCAUUGUCAAAUAUAGUAUUUUAAAAGAUUUUAAGCUGUUUCCAACUUUAAACAAAUAAAAUAUUAAUUUUUCGUCUCACAAGGGUAAUUUGGUCAUUUUUCUCAAAAAUUUUGAAACUGGCUAAAACAUAAUAUACAAGUAUAAAACACACAACUCAUAUUCAAAAUGAGUUUAAAAGUCUAAAAUCUUCAUUUAAAAUAAAAUUAUGGUUAUUUGAAUAUAAUAAGAAAAUAAAAGAAAUAUUAAGUAAAAUAUUCUAUUUUCUUAUAAAACAAUAUUUAUAGAGUUAUACGUGAAUAAUUUUUAUAGCUUAAAAGCUAAAUAAAUUUAUACAUACUUAAAUACAGUAAGCCAAAAUAUUUAAUUUAAUUUACAAUAACAAGAGUGCCCCCGAAUAAACAAAAGUAAAGAGGACUGUGAACCUACGGUUUGGAAAAUGCAGAUCCCACUGUAGUCCUCGAUGAGAUCAGCUAUCUACAGUCUAUACUGAACCUGAAAUGGGUGGAAAGGAGGGUGGUGAGAUUAUAAAAUCCCAAUGAGUAAACAAACAUCAUCAUAAACAUCUAGAGUUGAGUACAUGGAGACAAUAAAGUAAAUCAUCAUAAACUGGGUUAUAGCAUUAGAACACAUUUUGUUCAAAACACGUAAAGAGGCUUAUGAAUCUCAUAAAAAUCUAGGCUUGUGCCAUAAAUCCAUUCUCGGGGACACCUUGGCCGAGGCAUCCUACCGAGACCGCCAAGGCUAUUAAAAUUCACAUUUCACAUAAAUCAUGUUUUUGUUUUGAAAACAUAGCCGUUCCUUGGCGUUGGCUGAGUUCCCCCUCACGUGGUGGUUUAGCGUGAAGUGAACCCUAAACUUUACCCCAGGAGAUACCCUACGCGCCUCUCCGUUCGAGGUAAGAAUAUAAUGGGGUUUACCGUGCCCCUCUAAAAGGCUGGUCCACAGAAACCCCCUACUGCAGUGAUUAAUUAAUAUAUAAUCCACCAUAUAAUAAAACUCAAUAACAUGAUAUGGCAAUUUUGUAAUUCGUAGUUUUUCAAGGUAACCAAACAAUUCGCAUUUCAAUACAAUUGCCAACUAGCCAAUCAUGCUCGAUUUAUCAUAAGCCAGUUAAUUUAAACAAUCAAAUUGCCACAAUUAACAGUCUCCGUGUACUCUAUUUUUCAAAAUCACUAUUAAUUUCAAAACAAUUUAUAAUUUAAUUUCAUUGAAACUCAUUUAUUCAUAAAACAUGAAAAUUUAUCUUUUUAAAUUCCUUUUUCCAUAGAAUUCAUGAAAGCAUCUAAAAACCACCCUAGAUAAUUAAAAUGACAGUAAGUUUACUCACAAUGUCUAGAAUGCAGACUUUCGAAGCACUCUGUCUACUGGUCCUCGGAUGCAAUUUCCUUGCCUUUAUCGGAGGACUCACCACCUUGACACAGUACAAAAUCGAGAGUUUCACCAAGUUGGUACUAAAUCAAAAUUAAACUAAUUUAGACUACCAAUGCAUGAUAUGGAAUGCAAAAAUGCACUGGUAACUAUCUAAACCCGGUAUUGGCCUAAUUCGUCUUAUCACCCGAUUAAAUUCCUAACGGGUCCGUUUAAACUCCAAUUUAAUUCUUUUCAGUUUCUAUACCUCAAUUGCACCCAAAUUAACUUAAUGUCCCUCAGUGUGAUGCAAAUUAUCAGUCCCAACAGCAAAUUACGAAAAUACCCCUAGUGGGUAAAAAUUCGUAUUUUUGCUCCGAAAAUUCCCAUUAUUUUUCUAGGCUCAUAAUUCAUCAUUCCUUAACCAAUUCUCCUAGAAUAAAAUCAAACUCAUCCUCACUCACUACAUGGUAAAUUCAGCCAUUAAUGGUUGGGGGAGAAAAUAAAUUCUUUUCUUGUUGUUUUGUUUCUAAAUAUGCUAAACUAACUAAAAACACUAACAUAAAUUAAAAUCAAAUAAAUCCAACAACUUUCUCUCUCCUAACCCAUUUUUUCAGAAUUGAAUUCAUCAUGAAAACAUGUAAUUUAAUCAUGGAAAAUAAAGAGAAAUGCUUGGGAAUAAGAAAACUCAAGCUUAAUAGAAAAAACUCACCUUUUUCACUUAAUUUCCUUGAAAAUUCACACUUUUUCUUUGAUUUUCUCUCUCUAGGGUUUUGUUUUUGUUUUCUCUCUCUUCUUGCUGGUUUGGCCGGCCAUGGGGUGGAAGAUGGGCUGAUUUUGUGCCUUUUAAAAAGGAAAAUAAUAAAUUAAUAAAGGCAUGACACAUGGCAUCAUGUCAUUGGCCCGUUUUUAAAAUUUUAAAAAUUUAAACAUUUUAUCUCCACCACAUGUUUAGUCAAGGGUCAAAGAUGAAGACAAAGGAAGACCAUGUGCUGGAAAAAAUAUCCUGGUGGUGGAAAAUUACAAUUUUGCCCCUGAGGUGGCAAAAUUACCAUUUUACCCCUAUACUCCAAAUUAUACCGAAAUUAAAAUUUUUCACUUCUAAACCUCAAAUCAUACUUCAAUAAGUCAAAUUAUACUCCAAUAAGUCAAAUGGGGCCAAAAAAUUCUUUUCUAAAAUUCCCAUUUUGUCCCCAAGUGGCAAAUGACCAUUUUGCCCCUAGUUAGUGAAAAUUCCGAUUUGACUCCAAAUUGAUCCUCAAACUCCAAAUUACCAUUUUAAGUCAUCCAUGAGCUUUGAAACUCUUAAUCUCACCUUAAAAUUCCUAUUUGAUCUAGUUCGAGGAUUAAAUAAACUUUGUUGUACCUUUAGGUACAAUAUCGACUUUUGUAAAUUUUUUGGGACUCUCCUAGCAUGCAAUCAUGCUAUCAUCACAUGUAAGUCAUGAAUAGUAUUUUAUAAGGUCGGGCUUUACAGAAACAAACAAACAAAGACUCUUUACGUUGUUACUUUUGUUAUUUGUCUGUUGUUAUGUUACAAGAAAAAAAUUUGUAUUAUGAAAUUAUAUAUAUGUUAUAGAAGUGAAUGAGGAUAUACACACAAGGUUAAUCAUAUUCAUAGUCUAACUCUAAUUAGAUAUUGCAGUCUGACUUGAUAAUAAUAUUAUAUUAUAAUUUGAAUUAAAUAAUUUGUAUAACUAUCUUAACACCCCUUAAACUCAACGUGAUCCUAUACAUGUCAACUUGAGUUUGGAAACUAACUAUUAAAAUCGACUAGUAAAAUGAGUUUUGGUGAAGAUAUCAACAAUUUAGUUUAAAGAAAUUACAGAAGCAAGAUGAAGAGUCUCUUGAGUUACAUGAUGAUGCACAGAAGGACAAUCAAUUUCAACAUACUUGGUGUGCUCAUAAAACACAUCAUUAUGAGCAAUCUAGAUAGCUUUGUGGUUAUGACAGUGAAGGAUAGUGAUAGUAAUUCGGACAUUGCACAUAUCCACUAAUUAUGGACAACACUAAAGCAACUUUGAAGUGACAUUUGUAGGAGCAUGAUAUUUAGACACAAUGCUAAAACAAGCUAUUAUAGUUUCUUUCUUAUUACGCCAAGAAAUGAGAAAAACACCUUAAAAGAAAUAAUAACUCAUAGUUGAACGAUGAUCUGUAAGAUCACCUACUUAGCCAGCAUUAGAAUUCCUUGAUAAAAUCAAAGUAGAGUGUGUAGAAAAGUGAAAUCCAUGAAAGAGUGUGCCUUUGAUAUAACGUAGAAUAUACAAAAUAGUUGAAAAAUGAGAUGACCGGGGAACACCCAUAAAUUGACUGAUUAAAUGAACAACAUAAGCAAUAUUAGGUUGAGUCACUAUGAAAUAGACUAAAAUCCCAACCAAAUGACGAUAUAAAGUAAGACCAAUAAGAGAGGUACCGUCCAUUGAAGUAAGUUCAACAUUAUAUUCCAAAGGAGUAGAGACAAAUUUGCUGUUAGUAAUACUAGCUUGAGAAAGCAAGCCAAAAUGUAUACUUAGUUUUAGAGAGAUAAUAACUAGGAGUGUGCAAAUCUUGAUUUUUUUUAUUUUCGAUUCGGUUUUUUCUAAAAUCGACCAAAAAAAUUAAGCAUUCUAACCGAUCGAACCACAUAAGGGCUAAAGUCAAUUUCGGUCGAUUUUUAAAGGUGGUAGUUUCGGUCGAUUUCGGUUGGUUUUUAUGAGUUUACUGAGAAGCACCAAUAAUUUGGUCUGUUGGUUUAGAGUUUAGUAUGAGCGGCAGAGACUAGAGAAAGAGAGCUGGAGAGGUGAAAAAGGAAAAGAGAAAUAAAGGGGGUCGGGCCGUUAGGGGGAAAGGGCAAAUAAAUGAAUAAUAGUAGCAAAUUUUCACCUUUACCCUUAUGAGGGGCGAAAGGGGUGUUUAAUGAAAGGCAUUUAUGUAUUUCCACCCUUUUGAAAACUAAAGCCUAUCAUCGACUGGUUAUUUGGUCGAUUCGGGGGGGAAAGAGUCCCCCUCAAGGGUCGAGCAGAUCGACUGACUAGGCCAAUCAAAUCGAUCGACGGUUGCGGUCUGUUGCAACCAGGCAACCGACCGCUGCCCACCCCUAUUAAUAACCAUCAGAGGCAAAAUGCAUACUUAAGGAUGCUUAUAUAUACCUUACAAAAAGUCCUAAAAUCUCAUUUUUGCUAUUUUUCAUCUCUGUAUUUCUUUCUCACUAUCAUUCCCCAUUUUCUUUCAUUAAAAACUCUAACCUUUCUUAAUAUUCCCUUGUUUCAUGGUUGACCACUACCAACAACCUUUAUUUCCCCUUUAUCUUUCUACUAAUUUAUUUUCUUUCAAAACUUUUCAUUUUCUUACAAAAAGGAUCAAAAACCAAAACUCCAUCCCCACACUUCUUGUUGUCGCUACCAUAGUCACAAAGAGAAAACUCCAUCAUUCUUUCCCUUUCUCUUUACUCCACAUUUUCAUCCCGUUGAUUCCCAUUGGAAUCAAAUUCCUUUUCUUUCCUCUUUGAAAAAACUUGAGACCUAAAAAGCCUAAAAGACCUUUUUAAAACCUUAAAAAUUUCAUACUUUCACUUAGGGGUGAGCAUCGGUCGGUUUCGAUUGUGAGGAAAAUCAAAACCAAUCAAACUAAAUCUUUAAAAUAAUCAACCAAAAUUGAUUGAGCAACAUGAAAAACAUUUAAACCGAAAUCAACCACGGUUUGGUCGAUUUCGAUUGGUUAUAGGUUUUAUAUUGCUUGGGCUUAAAUGACCUAAGUUGAAAAAUAUCCAAGUAGCCCAAUCGACCGAUAAUUUUUAUGAGGACUUGGGCUUUAUUGGACUAAUGUAAAAAUUUCAUGUUGUUUAAGUAGGUAUUUAAGUCCAUAUGAUUUAUUUUUAGUAAAAAAAGCAAUAAAUAAGUAAAUAUCAUAUAAUUUAAUUUUAAAGAUUAGGGUUCCUCUUUGUUAGUCUUUACAAUAAGUCGAUCAGGGAAUGGAAUAAAUGAAGGCUACUUGUGAAAUUUCUUUUCCCCUAUAUUAAAAUAAAAAAAAUAACCUUCGGUUUUUCGGUCAGUGUCAAAGGGAGAAUUCCCUUGAUGAUUGAACUAAUCAAUUGAGAAAAUUGGUUGUCAUAACCGAUGCCUUAAUUGGCAUCGAAUAACCAACCCAUAUAGGGUCGAAAAUCGUUGACUUCGGUUAGUUGUGUGGUUACAAUUGACUGAUGCACAAUCCUAUUGUCAUAGACUUGGAAUGUUAGCCCAAAACCGCGCACCACUUAACCUUGUAUGUGAAGACUAGCAAGCCUUAAUUCAUGAUAAUGCUUCCCUGUAUGUGAAAACAAAGUAAGCCUUAAUUCAUAAUAAUGCGGAAGCAUAAGACAAAGAUGAACGUAAUUUAGAGAAAUAAUAAAUGUAUUAUUCUUAAAGGCAAACAAUACCAAAGACCGAUGCUAAAUGCUUAUGAAAUAGCUUGGUGGUCUAAAAAGAGAUCUUAAGAGGAUUCUUUAUAGUGAGAUAAUUCUUGCUAAUUUUGAUAGAAUUAUAGAAAAACACAAUUAAGGAUAUUGUUUAAUUUUUAAAUUACUUGUAAUGUAAGUAAAAUAAAUAGCUAAUAAAGAAAGAUUAAAUAAAGAUAUAAUCUAAUCCUAAUAGUCCUAGCCACCUAGCAGCUUUAUUACAAAGAGUCCUAACUCUAAUCAGCAACCCCAAGUAGUGUCCAUGUGCGUGGCUCCCUGUGCGUAGCCUCCAUGUGCACGACUUUCCUUACGCGCAAUGCCCAUAUGUGCAGCUCCUAUGAGUGCAGCAUGUGUACCGCAUAGCAGUUUUAUUACAAAAAAGUCCUAACUCUAAUUAGCAACCCUAAGUGGUGCUCGUGUGUGCGGCUUCUUACACACAGCCUCCGUGUGCGUGGCUUUCCUUAUGCGCGACGUCCAUAUGCAUGGCUCCUGUGCAUUCAGCAUGUGUGCAGCCUUUGUGCACGUAGCCUUUAUGCAUGCAUCUCCCAUGCAUGCGAGCCUUGCACGCCAAUUUGUUGCGCCAGGCUCGCUAGUCUGCAACUUCGGUCAGCCCACUGUGUCGUGCCUUGUGUGUGCACCCAAUCUUGCGGGCGUCCUACACACACGACAACCCCACUCAUUGUUGACUCGAUGGUUGCCUGAAUUGGACUCGCUUGGUGUGUCACUGACUCUUAUCCAAUUCUCAAUAUCUUUUUUGUGAUGAUUUUUUGUAUCUUGAGGUUUUUGAAAAAGAUUAUUCUUAAUCUUAAAUCUAGGAUAUUCUUUUUUUAAAAAAAAAGUUUUGAAUUUUAGUAUUAAAAUUUCUUUUUUUUAUUUUUUAGUGGAUUGUGUUGUUUUUGGAAUUUUUGUGAUAGCUUAUGGGCAACGUAUGGUUGUUUAUAGUUGUGUCAUGUGUGUUUGUGAGGGUAGUUUUUCUAGUUUCAUUUAAAAAAAAACGACUUAAAAAAAACGUGUGAGAGUCAAUUAAGGACUUACUAAUGGUCAAUUGGGAGCCUAUCAAGGAUUACUACAGUGAUUUUAGUUUAAUUGCAUGUAUUUUAGCGAAAGUGUAUAAAAAAUAAUAAAAAUAUAUUUUAAUUAUUCAAUAAUAAUUGAUAAUUAGAGAUUGAGGCCAGAGAGUUUAGCUUUUUUAAAUUUAAUUACAUGAAUUUUUAGAACACAACAACUUUUAGAUGAAAUUCUCGAAAUUUUCAAUUUGAAAAAUAAAUGAAAUAGGUAAAGGAAUAAACCCCAAUUAAAUAAAUAAUAAAUAUAUCCAUAAUAUAAACAAUAAUCAAUUAAAAAGUUAUAUCCAUAUAUAUUAGAUUUACUUGACUAUUAUUUUUAAUGAAAAGCUAUUGAGUUUUGGAUUAGAGACCAACAAAUAGCCUUACGUCCCAUAAUCUCAUUUUCCUUUUUUUUGAAAAUUUAAAUUUAAAAAUUUUUUUAAGUUACUCGUUUUAAAUAAUUUUAUAAUCAUAUAGAUGCUUUUAAAUCGAAAUCUUUAGUGUUUUUUGUUCAAACCUAUAUAAUUGGAUGUUUGCAUGAGCAAAUGUGAAGCGGAUGUCAUCCAUUAAAAAAAAAUUCAUAUAUAGUCAUUUAUGUCAUAGAAAGUUUUAUUACUCGUUUUAACGGAUUUUAUAAUUUUAUAAAUAAUUUUAAAUAGAUUUUUUUUUAUUUUUUGAUUAAAAUAAUUCAUAAUUAGAUGCUUGUAUUAAAAAACGUGAAGUAGAUGUCAUUAAUUGACAAAAAAUUCUAUUUAUAAUCACUUACGUUUUCGAAAGUCUUUUUACUCAAUUUAAAUGAUUUUAUAAUUUUGUAAAUGAUUUUAAAUCAAAAUCUUUUUUAUUCUUAAAAUUGGAUCCAAUGGUUGUUGAACUCUGAACUUUUGAUCACAUUUUCAUGUGAAAUACAUGAUUAUUUAUAAUUUAAAAUUGAUUUAAUUUUUCAUAUAUGAUUUGUUUGACAAAUUUUAGUAACCACGUUUUCGCUUUUAUAAAUAAUAAACUUUACUUAAAAAAAGCUAAUGAUAAUAAAAAUAAAUAUUUUUAUUUAAUUCUUUAUUCCUACUUUAUUCUUGCUUAUUGGGAGUUUUAUACUUCUUCCCUCGUACUCAUUGCCAAAUUGCUAAAUAGAAUAUUGUCCAUAUAUAAUAUAAAUUAUAAAAUUAAUUUAGACAUAAUUUUAUUUCCAAAUUCUUGAUUGGUUAGAGUUGGAUCUCACAAACUUCAUAUUCAUAUAACAAUUAACAAAUCUUUGUUUACAAGUUUUAGAUCAAAAGAAACUAAACUUAUGUGGUCAAGGACAUCAAUGGAAACAGACAGAAACUAAGAAACAUAAACCACAAACAAAGAUCCCCAAACAGAUACAAACGUUAACAACAGUAAAAAGAACAAGGUAUCCAGGGUGAAAAACUCGGUAUCAGGGUAAAGAUGGCCACACGUGAAACUCUUGUGCCUUGAGUUUAAUACAUUUGCCACGCAGCAGUGACAGAGUGGAGAGAGAGAGAGAGCGAGAGAGAGCGAGAGAGAGAGAGAGUGUGUGUGCCGAGUUUACACAUCAGCUAAGAGAACACAAAAGAGAAAAUAAGCAGAGAAACCGACGAAAAAAAAAAAGAAAGCACAGGGAGACGAGAGAGUAUCUUCUCUCUAUUCAAUUUGGUUAUAUCUACAACCUCCCUGUCACUCUAUCAGUUUCUCCUUCCUCUGUUGUUUGAGAGUUGAUUUAUCUUUCUCUCUCUCUCUCUCUCUCUCUUCUCAAUCUUGAAUAAGGUAUAUAUCAUCUUUGGUAACUUCUAAUUAUGUUAUUUUGCCUAUGUUUGAUGGAAAUUCCAUUUCGAUGAUGUAAUUUGGUUUUUAUUUUUGGGUCUCAAUUUGGAUUCUUUAAAGUUUUAGUUUUUAGUCUGUUCUUGAGGGUUAGAAUCGAAAAAGGUCGUGCCUCCUGUAUUCAUGUAUUUUUGGAAUUUAAUAAAACCCUAAACUUUCUUAUGGAGUGAUCAAAUGGGGAUAUGGGUAUCUUGUCUCUAUGUUGAUGAGGCUUGCAUCUUUCUUUUUUUUUUUUUUUGUUGUUGCUUGCAUGUAAGCCUAGGAAUAAGAACUUUGGAAAUGGUUCUUUGAUAUAUAAAUAUGACGGGGUAAAGUUUGUUGUUCAAGGUGUUGUUCAUAUUUCUGUUAUAUGAUUCUUGGCCCCUUAAAGCUGAAAACUUUGGUGGGUAUUGAAGAAUGUAAGUAAUUAGCAUCCAGAUUUUGAAGUUUGUUUAUAUUAGGAAGUGGGCAGAAUGUGGUCUUGUUGGUUAGGAGGUGAGUGAUGAUGGGUUACUGCUGCUUUGUCUAGGAUCAAACAAUUUUUUGAUUUCACACGUGUUUUUGAUUCCUCCGGACCAUAUUAACGUUAAUGGAUUUGUAUUGUCAUUUGGUUGUGAGAAUUCUAAGAUAUCAACAAAACAUAGGUUGUUGUUUUGUAUCAAUAUUUUGGUGCCUGGCAUAUCAGGAGAAUGGAAAUUUGCUUCUAUUUCUGUAUGGCUGACCACAAAAGAAACGUUUUUGAUGUUAAAAGUGCAUGGACUUGCGAAUGGAUUUUAAUUGCAUGAACCUGAAGCUUUCUAGAUUCAUUCAAGGUGAAAGCUGUGAUUUUUCUUUUUGGGAGCUUCCUGGUGCUUUUGUAUGAAAAAUUAUGAAUCCAUUAUGUAAGGUUGGUGAUUCCAUUUUGUUUGAACUUAGUAUGGCUUUCAUAUGUUUUUAAAUACUUUUGGAUGUGCUUUCAAACUUUUAGGAUAUGAACUUUAUAGCAGACUGUAAACAUGUUCAUUAGCAUAUGAUGAUAUGAGAGCAGUACUAAUCAUUCAUGGAAGUUGUCUAGAGAGAGUUGAAAAUUCUUCUCAUAAUCCCAUGCAAUUAUUAAUGCCAACUGCUUUACCAAAGAUUGAAAUGAUGUCUAAUUGAAUUCAAGAUACUGAAUCUCAGAUACUCGUCAAGAGAUGAAAGAGAUUAGAGUUGAAACAUGACACAGAAUGUAAAACUAUCAUCAAUUAUGCCUAAGCAUUUCACUUGGUGUGGAUGCUUUUUUAAUUCAAUUUUUUUUGGUUUCUGGAGUCUCAUGUUGUUCUUUAAAUCAGAGGGUUAGAAUUUAAUUUCCUUGCAUUGCUUUAUUUUUAAUCACUUUCCUUAACAUAUUUCUGGUUGAUCAAUACGACUUAUGGAAAGUUUCCAAACUUACCAAAUGUGGCCUAUUGUAGUUGUAGCCAUCAACUUGUUAAAUCCUUGGUUUUGGGGCCAAAAAAUUAUUUGCCUAAACUGUAAGGAUAUUUUGGUAGAUGGAAAUAAAUUUUUAUUAUUCUUGUUUGUAAUUCAUCAUGAUUUUUGCUUUGUGCUUGUUAUUGCAUCUUUUCCAUUGCGUCUUUUUCCAUUUUCCCACAAAUAAGUUACAGAACCAGUGACAACAGUUUGUACUUUUCUUCUUGUCAUUACUCUGCCUUUUCAGCUAUAGGUGUUGAUUACCUUGUUUGAAAUCUGUCAUUCAUCAUCAAGUUGGGCAGACCUGUUGAUAAUACAUAAGCUGGCUAUUUUAUAAGAAAAAAAAAAUUAUUCUCUUUCGAGAGAAAAUCACCUUUUAGUCAGAUAAAUCAGAUUACUGUCUUGUUAAUUUUUCUUUAAAUAUGCAAGAAUAACAGAAUGUUCAUACUUUGCACAAUUGGCAAAAAAGCCAUCGGCAAGUGGUUAAUGCUAGGAGAUUUGCAUUUAAAGAUCAUAUGAAUCUAAAAGCCUUUACAGUGUCAAUUUCAUUAAUCUGGGUGUCACUCUGCUGGCAUGUGGGGGAAAUUUGUGUUGUCAUGAUCAAAGUUAAUUCUGCUUUGAUCUGAUUAAACCUGCCUUUUUGAAACAUUUUUCCAAUUCACACAUUUGUAUACUUAUCCUCUAUUUGGGGCUUUAGAGAUUUCCUCAUUUUCUGAGUCUGCAUUGUUUAUCUCUAUAAAAGUUAUGGCACGCAAGAUAUGGUAAUGAGAGCCAAAAGGAUCAUAAAAUUAAUUAGACUACCUUUUUUAUGCACUGGGCAGAUGGGGUUGAGUUUGAGAUUGAAUUAUAUGGAAAAUUGCAUCAAUCUUUCGUAACAGUUCUACUCUUUUUUGUACACUUCAUGUGUGGAAGAGUAUUCUUACAGCCUCUGUUUAAUAUCUACAAGGGGAGGGAAGGGAGAGAGAGCAGAAGAGGAGGAGAAGAGGGGAAAGGAGAAGACGAGGCUCCUGUUGUUUUGAUUGCUUUAAAAAAGAAGAGGGAUACGAAGGUAAGAAGUGGGUACUUGAGUGACCUUCUUUGGCUAAGGAGUAGAAAAGUAAGAAAAUCUACCUUACAUGUCCUUCCUAAUUAUAUUUAUAACAAAGGGUAAUUUUGUUUGUAAAAAGAACUUUUGAUGAAGAAUCUUUUUCUUCCAUUAAAUCUUUCUCAAACUAGGAAGAGGGUACAAUUUCCUACCCUUUCUUUUCCUUCUCCAUAACCCAAAUCUACCUUAGUGUUUGUGUAUAGUGGAAAAAUCUUUUUUGUUCAUUUGUUGAGGGGGGGGGGGGUGUCGGGUGGAAGAUAAUAAAUAAGUGAUAGAAUCAUUGAUGGCUAACCUAAUUCAGUUUUGUUGAAAGUGUGCUUCACUGAACUUCUAAACGUAGGUGUGUAUCCUUGUAUUUUAUGGAGAAGAGAAUGCAAAAUUUUGAUGAUUUCGUGCAAUGAAGCAAGAUUUUUUUCCUUGUGUCUUUUUUUUUCUGUAAUUUCCAGUGAACACCCCCUUAGUAAUGAUGCAACUUAUUGAGACUUCCCCUGUCACUUUUUUCUGAACUUUUGUAGUCCCUGACAUAGCAUGUUAUGAUUUGAUAAAUUCAAAGAUGGCUACCAAGUUAUGGGUUAAUCAAUUAAUUUAUAAAUGAGAUAUUAGAGUCAAAUGAAUAUAAUAUCUCCUCAUCAGGUGGGACAAAUGUGUUGGGAUAAAAGUGUUGAGGCAAAUAGUAUUUUUCAUAUUGUUUUGGCUGUUUGAUACAAAAUGAAAAAUUUAUGUUUUGCCACCUACAAAUCUUUCAUUUUGUUUCUUCAUUACAGGUGUCUGUGUGGUCAGUGAAUAAUGGGAAGCACUGGUGCUGAUAAAGUUCCAAGAGAUAGUGAAACUGAAGGUUCUGAGACCACAAUAGAAAUAAAAAUAAAAACACUGGACUCUCAGACUUAUACUUUGAGAGUAGAUAAACAGGUAAAUAACUCUUAUGCUGUUUUGUCGUGAUCUAAUCUAAGUUCUGAUAGUGUGUAGUAUUGAUAUGUAGUUUAGUUGACCAAUUACAAUUUGUUAAUGCAUACAUGACUUAGAACUUUUUCUGCCCGGUUUGCUUUUGACAAAUCUCUGACUUUGCAUAAUAUAUUUUCUUCAUUUGUUGAAGAACUUGAAUUGUUAAUGUAAGCAUGUUCUCUGAUUUUGCUAGUAGUAGUUCACAUCAAAUUUGGUAUGGUAGCUUCCUACAAUUACUAUGCUAUUUACCUUAUGGAAUCUGAUAUGUUAUGUUGGUACUUAAGGUUUUCUAAUCUUCAAUCUUUUCAUUUCCUUCUGAUUGGCUUGGCCCUUAUACUAGUGUAUUUGUUCUAGAUUUUAUUUGUGAAAUUGUUUAACAUUUGUGCUCCACUAUGUUGUUUCUUGUCUCUUAUAUCUUACAGAUGCCAGUGCCUGCACUAAAAGAACAGAUUGCUUCUGUAACUGGUGUGUUAUCAGAGCAACAACGACUAAUAUGUCGUGGGAAAGUUCUAAAGGAUGACCAACUACUUUCUGCUUACCGUAUCCAUUUCAUUUUAAAUAUUCAUAUUGAUUUGUAAAGAAACUAUCACAUUUUAUUGAUUGUCUUAGGUAAGAAGUUGUUCCUUUCUAUUUAUUAUGGCUAUUUUUCAUUUUUCAGGUAGCCAUGUAUUACUGUUUACAAUGUAAUUAUCUGUUCGCAUCUAGAAUUUGAUCUGAGUUUCUUAACUUGAGAUAGAUGUCGAGGAUGGUCACACAUUGCACAUGGUGGUCAGGCAGCCGGUUCCACCAUCAUCUGAUGGCUCACCUCAUUCAGGUUUUGCUGCACUUUAGGAUCCAUUAUCAUCAUAUUUAUUUUGGUACAAACAUUGCAUGGGCUCAAGCCUUUCAGGAAAAAAAAAUUGCAUGGGCUCUUUAAUCUAGUUUUAUUUAAUGCAAAAGCCUUUAUGUCUUUGCUAGUGGCUUUAUAUUUGAUGGAUUACUAAUAUUGGCCCUAAUUAAUGCUUGACAUGUGUGAAGUAUUGAACUUAGCAUAUUGCUUUACAAAAGCUUGUUUCACUUUAUUGUUUGCCACGUACAUGUUUGAAACAAAGUAUUCAUUGUAAAGAGUUUUAUGUUCUGUGUUAUUAUCUGAAUGUUGGGCAUAAUAUGUGGUUUCACGAUAUAGGUAUGCCUCCUACCCCCUUCGCCCAGUUUCCCUUUUUCAUAGAAUAAUUUAAUGCUAGUGGCAACAAACUUCCGUUGGAUCAUUUUAACCUUCCAAUUACAUUAAUGAGAAAUUCAACUGAUUUUCUGAAAUGAAAUAGUUUAUACAAUUUUGUUAAAAUUUUUUAUGGUAAAUUAUAAGCCAUUAGUAAAAGCCUUGGUCUUACAAGUGCAUGACCUCAUAUGAAAGUCCUUUGAAUGGUGCUUCUGCAAAUGCUAAAAGAAACAUGUAUUUAGAGCACCUCCCCCACUAAUCUUGCUUCUGUAAGGGUACUGAUCCUUAUUUCCUUAUUGAAUGAUAAAUUUGAAUUUUAUAAAAGAAUGUCAAACAAAUAGCAUCCUAAUUAUUUCUUCAUUUUCUUUGCUGCUUUUAGAACUUUACAGGGUGCAAACACUAUAGUGUCCUUUGUGGUUUGCAUGUAUAAACAACAAGUAUUAUUCUAAUCUUCUUGUUUUUAUAUAUAUAGAGCUUCAGAUGAUGAAUAACUAGUAAUACCUAUAUUCAACAAGUAAUAACCUUUGAAUAUCAGAAUAAGAAUAUUUAGUAAAUAUAUUAAACAACAAAUACUAUUUUUCCAUUCAAAUUUAGUUUAAAUGGGCUUUUCGACUUUUAUUGUUAAAGUUCUAAGCCAAUAGGAUUCUACUUCUUUAAGCACUUGUUAUUGCUCAGAUUUUUUUUCUUGAGGAAAUAAUCAUUCAAUCCUCAGUUUUUUCAAGUGUAUUGUGACUUGGAGGUCAUGGGUACAAGUUGUGGCAACAGCCUGUGAGGCUUGGGGUAAGGCUGCCAAAAUUUACUCUCACAGGGACUGUGGUGUGGGAACCUGUUUUUUAUUAUGUUUAGUUAGACUUUUAGCUCGUAAAUUAAAUGGUUGCAUUGUUUGCUAUGGUAGUCUUGUAAUGUCAUAUAUCAAUAGGGACAGUUAUUAAGUUUUUGCAUUGAAAAUUUUACAGUUUGUAAUUCUCUUCCACUAUUAGUAAGAAAUUUAACAAAUUAAUACAUUCUCGUUCUUCCUAAUUGCUUAUUUACAUCUGCAUCAUGAAAUGUUGAGAGGAAGUAAUAUAGGUGAUUAACGUUUCAGUUUUUAUGUGCCUAAAAAGAUUAUAAAAGAUAGACUGCAUAUCCUUCGUUUCAAUUGCUGUCAUGAUGCUUACUUUACUCCCUUUACUCCCUGUGUAGUCCUCUAACAAUUAGCAAGAAGGUCACAGACCAGUGAUGUGCUGAUCAGUGAGAGCAUAAGCAUGUACAGGGACUAAUGAUUUUCACUAAGCCACCAUUCUUUCUGGACCAGAAAAAAGAAGAAUAAAAACUCAUUUAAGAGUUAAUGAUGUGCAAGCUACUAACUUUUUCCAGUUUAUAUUUUAAGGGCUUCGAUCAAAUUCUUUUUGCUUUUAGGUUCAUCUAUUGGGUUAAUCUAAAAAGAACUUCAGUGUUAAUACUUUUAUGAUAUUUUGAGACUCUAUCUUUUACUUCUGAUGCAUGCACAAACACAUGUGAUAUGAAUGUGAUCUUAGUAUCUUGAAGUGGUGUAAAAUAUACUGGGACAAAGUGUCAAUAUGUUCACUACAAGAAUGCUAUCAGCAUCAGAACUGAAUAACUCUAAAACUUGCUUUGUUAUGCUCUCAAUGUCUUGCACAUUUUCUAAUCAUGCAGCAUCUUUCGUAUAUGCAGUAAUACAUUCCGGUCAAGCCUGGGGUCAAGUCAUUGAAGUAGAUUAAUAUACAUAUGUAUUCUCAUGCAGCUCCUUGCAAAAAAAAUGACAAUUUUAUUCUUAGGAUAUACUGGUGGUUAGUAGAUGUACAUAUAUCUAUAUAUUAUAUUAUAUUAUAUUAUCAAAAUUAUUGAGUAACAUUUCCAUAAACAUAGUUAAAAAUGUUGCGUUUGCAGUAGAGGUAGUGGUAGUAACAUGAGUGGGAGCAAAUGUCAAUCCCAACUUCAAACAGUUUUUCCCAGAAGCAAAGAGGUUGAUGCUAGGAAUCCAUCUUGUGUCUUGAGAAAUCUAUAUAUAUAAAAAAAAUAAGAAAUUGUUGUCAUAGGAUGAAGCCAAUUUUAUGUCUUUUUUUUUCGAAGGCUUGAGAGUGUUUUUGUAGUUAAUAAAGAGCAGACUUCUAACCAUUAUGCAGAGAGUAAAUUUUUGUUGUAGCAGCUGAUGUUGAUACAACAUGAUUCUUAUCAUUUAAGUUACCCAGGAACGCUUCUUGGAUGAGCAUUCCUUCUUGUAUGCCUGUUACCCUUUCUCCAGUACAAGCUGCACUUUGUUUGUAAUGAUAAUUUUUUUGAUAAUAUGUGUUUGUAGUAUUAAUUUAUUGUGCAUUGCUUAUGAAAUAAGCUGGUUAAGACUCAGUUAUUAACAUUUAGCACCAUCAUUUGCAGCAAAUGAUUCUGCAUCAGGUACAAGCCGUGGUCACAGUAAUCAUGUAGCCCCUAGUGUUGUGAUAGAAACUUUUAAUGUGCCUGAUCAAGGGGAUGGAGUUCCUCCUGAGAUCAGUCGGGUAAGUUUGCAACUGGAUGUGAACUGGAGAAUAUUUCUACAGGGGAAAUAUAUCUCAUUACGAUGAUUUCUUAAUUUUUAAGACUCUUCUUUCCUUCUGAGCAGAUUGUCUCUGCCGUUCUUGGCUCUUUCGGAUUUGCAAAUAUAGGAAGUGGAAAUAUUGGGGGUGAUGUCAGGGUAAGUUUUAACUUUUUAAUUUUCAUAAAGUAAUGACAGUUAUUUAUCUGAUUCAACUUUUGUUAGUCUUUUGUUGCUUUGAUGUUUAAUGAAAAUGUCUGUACUUGCUAUCUGUGCACAGGCACACAAUAAAUAACUUAAAAAAGGGAUCCAUGAGAUUCAAACAUCCAAAAUUCUAGUUUUCAGAGGUUCAUUUUAGGCCAUGUUUUAACAGGAUGGAAUAUUGACAAUUCUAAGACAUCUUGGAAAAGUUUGGGUUUUGUUUCUCUAAAAUCUAACAGCAUGUUUAGUUGGGGAAUGGAAUAGCCAUCCCUCCUAUUCUUAAUCCUUUUUUUAACACUUUAUUUGGUUGGUAAGAAUGGCCAUUUCUUGGAGAUGAGCGAAUAGCCAAUACGAAGCUCCCCUUGGUAUUGGCGAUUCCAAGAGGCAAGGAAUAGUAAAAACAUUAAUGGACGAAAAUGUCUUUUAUUAAUUUGAAGAAUUACCUUACUAUAUAAAAUACAUUUUAUUCAUUUUUUACAAUUUCUUUCUCUCUCUACCCAACUACCUCUCUCCUUCUCUCAUUAAAUUAAAAUGAAUUUAAAAUUUAAAAAUUAAAAAAUUAAAAUGAAUUUAAAUAAAAAGGUUUAAGUUUUAAUUAUACAUUAUAAAAAGUUAAUAUUUUAAACUUAAAAAGUUUAAAUAAAAUUUUAAUUAUAAUUUUUUAUUAUUUUAAUAUUUUAAAAUUAAAAAUAAAAUAAUGNAUUUUAAUAUUUUUUAAAUUAAAAAUAAAUGAAUAAAAUUAAUAUUUUAAUUAUAAAUAUUUUAAUUUAAAAAUUAAAUAUUACAAUAAAUGGUAUUUUUGUCAUUUAUCACUUAUUCUUUAGUUGUUCCUAAAGCUAUUCUCGCCAACCAAACAUUAGAAUAAUUCAUAAUAGCAAUUCCUUCCCAAUUCCAUUCGUAUGAACUAAACUAUAUAAUAGUUAUUUAUCUCUUAUUCGAUACCAAUGGAAUAACUAUUCCAUUCCCACUUUAUUCCAUCCUGCAAACCAACACACCUUAAAGGUUUUUAUAGGCUUUAAUAUCUAUAGUUAACUUUAUGUGUGUCUAAAUUCAUAUGGUCUUACUUCAUUGGAGUUGUUGGAUACAAAAGGAACAUGGUUCACAAAGACUUGAAAGAACAUCUGGUGCUAGUGGCAUGCCAGAUUCAUCCCAAGCUCAAACGGAACAAGCUAGCAUGAGGGGUCAAUCUGAUAGAGUACAUAGUGCUUUUGGACUUCCAGCAGCAGUUUCCUUGGGGCCUCUGCAACCUCCUGUGAGUUUAUAAGUCCUAACUUUCUUACUCAUUUGUCUGUCACUUUGUAUUUGCCCAGUUGAUUUGUUCAAUUAUUCUCUAAAUCUUGUGUGUGCAUACCUCUUUUUGGGCUUAAAGUUAUUAUAUUUUUCAAUGUUCUUUAUUUUUGUAGGUUAUUCCUGAUUCUUUGGCAACUUUGUCCCAAUAUCUGAGUCAUUUACGACGUGAAUUUGAUGGCAUUGGUUAGUUUUCCUUUGUCAAAAAGUAUAAUUAUAUUAUCUCUGUCAGUUACUCCAAAAAGUACCGGUUCAUUGAUGAUUUGCAACUCAUCUCACUGCCAGGUAGAGCUGGGGGAGAGGAUCCUCAGGCAGCAUCCUUGAGUAGGACUGGAGAUAGAGAUUCUAACCCUGCAUCAAAUUCAGGGACUGUACAGGAAGGUCUUCCAACACCUGCAUCUUUGGCAGAAGUGUUACUCGCUACCAGACAACUGCUCAUUGAACAAGCUGGAGAAUGUCUACAAGUGUGUCCUGAACUACCUUUUAGUUUUCUUUCUAAAUUGGUGACAUUGUUUUCAGGAAGCUGCGUGGUGUUAGCCAUAUAUGUUAGUCUUCCUUGUUGAUUGAGGUGUGAAUAAUUGGCCUGCAAGGGAAAAUGGGGGAUUGGUGUUUAAGAAUGUUUGGCAUGGCCAUGCAGUUUCUUUUUCUUUUUGAGUUCUCAACAUUUUGUUUUAUUAUGUUAUAGAUAAAAACACGUUGUUAAUUUCUUUUGAUUUGAUGGGCAGCAACUUGCAAGGCAACUGGAGGAUCAAGGAAAUGUGACGGACUCCUCAGCACGGCUGAGUGCACAGUCCAUUGCUUGGAGAACUGGAGUUCUAUUACAGAACCUAGGCUCACUUUUCCUUGAGCUUGGUCGUACAACCAUGACAAUUCGCUUAGGUCAAACACCGGUAAGAUAAUCGCAUUCGACAUCGAUGACAUUUAAAUCUUUCUAAUAUCCUUUGUGAUCAAUGUUGCUAUAACUUAUUUCUUUUGCAGUCUGAAGCUGUUGUUAAUGCUGGACCUGCAGUUUUCAUAUCCCCUUCUGGUCCGAAUCCUCUCAUGGUUCAGGCAAUGUUCUAACAGCCUUUUUGAACCUUCUUGUUUGGCAUAAGCAAUAUUCAAUUUCUGCUGAUUUAUCUGUAUUUGUUCAGGCUCUUCCUUUUCAACCAGGAACUAGCUUUGGUGCCUUUCCCAUGGGAACUGUACAGCCUGGAUCUGGUUUGGUUAAUGGACUUGGGACAGGGCUUCUUCCUAGGCGUAUUGAUAUACAAAUAAGAAGAGGUAUGCUAUACCUGGCUAUUUUCUCUUGUUUGAUAGGUAUAAUGUGUUGGACCAAACACUGAUGUUGUAUUUACAAUAAGGUUCAUCGGUGGCAACACCCAAUGUUAAUCGAGAGGAACGUGGUGAUACUGCACAACAAUCGGGCCAAAGGAACCCAUCAAUGGGUUCUGGCAGUGAGAAUCGUAGCACUCAAACAAGUUCAAGGGUCUCAGAUACUCCAUCUUUUGCUGGGGAAUCAGGAGUGCGGGUAGUGCCAAUUAGGACCAUGGUUGCGGCUGUACCCACUCCCUUUGGUCGCUUACCGUCAGAUUCUUCUGGUAAUUCUGUGGGAUUAUACUACCCAUUCCUUGGAAGAUUCCAGCACAUUGCUUCCGGACAUGUUAGUGGGGAACGGGGAUCUCAGGGAUCUGGUGAGAAUCUCUCCCAUGGUGUUCAAUCUGAGCAGCACCUUAUUCCUGAAUCUACAGCGCAACAACAAAGUUUCGAAGAGUCAACUAGAGAUGGUAAUAUGAUAAAUCCAGCACUUCAACAUGCUAGUGAGGUUUGAUGUUCUCAUAUAAUUUUAGCUUGCUGUUAUGAACUUGAUGUUCUCGUAAUGCUGUUGUUUCCCAGUGGUGUCCAGAGGUUGUUUGUUAUUCCUUUUUUCUUUUUUCACAUUUCGUAGUUUUUAAAUUUCUUAUUUUAGAAAACUGUUAAUGUUCCUCCCAUUUUUCCCUGCUAAGGUAUGCAAAAAAGCUGUUUGGAAAAAUAUAUACCUUCAUAGUGGAUUUUAUCUCAUGACAAAUGUAUUUUCUUAUUUCACAUUUUAAGGAUAUUAGUAAAUAGCUUGAAUGCUACUUCAUGAAUAUUAGCUUGCACAUGUCUAUGCUGCUGCAUUGCCACAUCUUUUGUUAGUUUCUGCAGUUUGAAUGAUUCUCUGUAUCAAUUGACCAAAAGGGUUAAUUAAGCCCCUCCAAAAAAAAGGGAAAAAGAAAAGGUGAAGUUGACCAAGAGGGGUACUUCCAGGAACUGACUGUCAAAUUGCUUCUUGUUGGAGGUUCAUUGCCAAAUCCUAAUUCAAGACAACAGGAGCGAUCCAAUACUCGCAGUGUCAGUAUAAACAUUCUAGCAGCUGGCCGGACUCAAAACAACCAAGACUCAGAGAGACAAAUUCCUAGUAGUGUUCAGUUUCUGAGGGCAAUUUUCCCUGGUGGUGAAAUCAAUGUAGAGGAAGCAAGUGUACAAGGAGCAGCUACAGGUUCUGUCCAAGAGCAAGCAGGGACUUCCAGUGGUGCUCCAGCGGCUGAGCCAAGUAUUACUGAUCAAGGGGUGUUUUUAUCUAAUUUGCUUCAUCAGAUCAUGCCAUACGUAUCUCAGCAAGCAAGUUCACAACAAAGUACUGUGCCUACAGAGGAAGCAAAUACUUCCACCCAGGUAAGCAUGCUUGCCAUUCUUAGUUCUUUUCGUAGUGGCCAAAUAUGCAUUAGGUCUGAACCAUGGGUUGCUUGUUUCCUAUAGAGGAAGCAAAUUCUUCCACCUAGGUAGGCCUGCUUCCCAUUCUUAGUUAUUUUUGUAGUGGCAUAUAUCCACCAGGUUUGAACCAUGGGUUGCUUGUUUGAUUAAGGUCCUGAUAAUCCUUUCCAUGAUCAAAUAUAAAUGAAGAAUUGAAACUAUAGCAAUUGAGAUAAAAUAGAUGUUAAAGUCAGCAAUAAAGAUGCUAAAUGCUGCUGUAUUUUCAGGCUGAGCACACUAGUCCUGGGAGUUCACGUAGACCAAGUGACUCUGAACCAAAUUCACCAAACUCAAAACGUCAGAAGGUACUGGUUCUGAAUACUUUUGUUAUCUCAUAUCUUCUUUUGCCUUUUAUAUUACCCCAUUAACUUUUUCCUGUGUCUCAUGUAGAAAUAAUUAACAAACCUCGUAGAUUAGUCCAUCUAGUAAUUCAGUUACAAUCAAUAAAAACAUGUAGAACAAUGUUAUCUGAUUAUUUCUCUAGUGUGUUGCGUCCACAUGAACUCUGUCCAAUUUUUUUGUUGAUCACAUGUGUGCCGUGAAUGUAUGUAAAUGCAGUAUGGCAUAUAAGUACAUAAUAAGCUUAAUUAAGGUUGGUUUAGAUGUUUAAGAGUGAUCAGAUGUGGAAUAGAACAUGCAGACACUGCUAGUAUGGCACAAAUAACAUUUCAUAAGUUAUAUGUCAACAGCUAGGUUGUUAGUUUGACAUGUUUACUAUGAAUUUCUGAUUGUUAUGACUGUCUCUAUUUUUAAGCUCUUGAAUAGUUGAAAGAUUUUAAGCAUGUGGUUAUUAUUGUUUUGAGUAAAGAACAGUUAAGACAGGGAGAUUGGUGUAUGUCUAUAUAUCCUAACAACUGAAAUGCUGCACAACUUAUAUGAAAGUAUUGGAAUAGCAUGUAUAAGAGGAAUAUUUAAGGUUAGUGGAGGUGGCAAAAAUUAUUUGAGAGCAUGGUCAUAUAUAUACACUUGAUAUUUAAAGCUUAUUUGUUUGAUAGUACAAUUCGGUCCAAACUAGUUUAUUCUUUAGAUGAAUUCCACUGAGCUCAUGAACAUAGAAUAUGAGGUUAGUCUAAAUUUAAGGUAUAAGUGAUACAGUUUAAAAUUUAUUCAAUUCUGGAAUAUGAGGAUUGAGUUGGACUGCAUGUAGAUGUAGAUGUAGUGAUGCCAGAUGUUUAGUAUUGGACUAAGCUUUGACUGGUUACGAAAUGAAAUGGCUUUUUGUUGCAGACAGAGUAGCUUGUCAAGAGAAUGAGGAUUUGACUAGCUUCCCAUGGUUAUAAAAGGAAAUCGCUUUUUGUUGCAGAGAGAGUAGCUUAUGAAGAGAGGGAGGAUUUAACUAGGCUUCCCAUGGUUAUGAAAUGAAAUGGCGUCUUGUUGCAAGACAAAGUAACUUAUCAAAAGAUGGAGGAUUUAACUAAGCUUCCCAUGGUUGUGAAAUUUGUGAUUGCUGAUUUGAGCACUUGUUGGCACGAAAAGCGGCAUGACUUUUAUGUUAAAUGUGGUAUACCAUGUUUGUUGUAUUUCAAAUAUGGCAUUUGAUAAUUAGUAUAGGGAAAUAUGUUGUCACAGUUUUUGGUCUUUUGACUUGUACAAUAUAGUAAUAUGUUUUGCAUGGGGUUUUACUGGAUUUUUCCAUGUGUAGCCCCAUCCAUCAUCUAGCUUCUCUUGAGCGUCUGUGGCUUUUGAUUCCCGAUUUUAUUUUUGUACAUCCAAAUUGCAUCAUGGUUGCAUGGAAGAAUUCUGCAAGGGCAAGCUACUGCAUUGGCGGAUGUUAUGGGAACAUUUUGCUUUAACCAUUUACAUCUUCAGCAACUACAAUGCAAACCAUGAAGCGAACCUCUUACUCUCAUGCUUUAUUUAUGGUUUGAAAUAAUGUAAGAGCGUUCAAUUCUAAUGCUAAGCCAUCUUUUCUUGGCUCGAGUCACGAGUUGUGGCCAUGUGGUUGGUUAAGUGAUAGCUAUUGUUUUUUAGCAAACCUUACGUAAUUAUCCUUUGAACAUAUUGCUAGUAAUUUGUACAGAAAGUACACAUGUUCGAAUUAAACGACCUUCUAUAUAUUUAAAUUUAAAACCCGAGGGCAAGAGUUUGAUCCAUUUAUGAAGAAGAGAAGAUUAUUAUUAUGCACGUGAUCGUAACUGCACAAUUAACUUAAGGAUGCUUGUGUAUAUACUCAACAAGGUAGUCAGGCAUUUCUGUAAAUAGCUUGAUAAGGGUGAGGUUAGUUUUGUAAAUAAACAAGUUAUUUACUUACUUUUGCAGCCGUAAAUAAAUCUGCAUUUUUCUGUAAUAUUCUUUUGAUGAGAAUAUAUCUCUUAGUUUUUCGUUCUCAGUUUAUUUUUGUUCUUUCAAAUCAUAAAAGUUAACAUGGUAUCAUAGCAAUUAGUGAUUUUUAGGAUUUUUUUGUUUUUUAUUUGUUCAAGAAUUUCAUUUUGAUUUCUUGUUCUUGAGGUUUUAGCAUUUCGUCCAAACGAUUAUCGAUUCUUCAUUUCUUUUAUUCGAUUCUUGGAUUUAGCUUUUUAGAAAUUUGCUUUUUGAUUCAUUCUUGUUUCUUUGAUGAUGGCUUCGAAAUCAAAGUCCAUUAAUGUUUCUGCUAUUGAAAAUCUUCUUUCUUUUUAUUAUCUUUAUCAUAACGAUCACCACGAAUCUAUUGUGAUUAAUCAUAAAUUUACCUGUACAAAUUAUGCAUCUUCGAACAGGUCAUCUCUCUUAGCGCUCUUUAUUUGGAAAAAGAAGGGUUUUAUUGUAGGAUCUCUGUCAAAACCAAAAGCUGAUUAUGAAUUUGUAUGAUGCUUGGGAAAGGUGCAACAAUAUUAUAGUUUCCUGGCUGUUGGAGUCUAAAUCUCCGCCAAUUGCUUCUACUGCCUUUUAUUUGGACUCAGUUGUUGAGAUGGAAUAUUUUGAAGAGGUGGUUUUCUCAGCCUGAUGACACUCGGAUCUAUAAUCUCCAGUUCAAUUUGUCAAAUCUUGUUCAAGGCACAAAGUCUGUUGAUCUUUACUUCACAGAGCUUAAUUCACUCAUGGGAAAACUUAGAAUUUAUCGAAAUAGAUAGCAUUGUGUUAUUUUUUAUGAUUCAUAUUGUGUCAUUCAGGAACAAUAUCAUGGACUGUGAUUGGUCAUUCUAAGGUGAAUGCUGGCUUAUACUUCUUGCAAAAAAGGCUGGAAGACUGUGUUCUUUCUUUAAAUUGCUUUUGACACAACUUUCAAAAAUCACGUCAACUUCACUUCUGCACAAACAAAUUCUGUUGGUUUUCAUUUUCCUGUAAAUGUUUGUAACUUUAUAAUAAAGGAUUUUGAUGUUUGGCAUUCUAGGCUAGGCCAUCCUUCUUCACAUGUAACAAAUCAAAUUCAAAAAAUUUUUCCACAUGUUUCAUGUUUGAAAGAUCAUGUUUGUCAAACCUGUCCCUUGGUAAAGCAGAAAAGACUCCAAUUCCUUAUUCAUGUCCAAAGUUCAAUGAAACCUUUUGAGUUAAUACAUAUGGAUGUUUGGGGCCUUAUGUAGUGGCAACUAUUACUGGUCAACAUUAUUUUUUGACUAUUGUUGAUGAUUUGAUAAGAUUUACUUGGAUUUUCUUGUUAAGAACUGAGUUAGAUGUUAUUGGCAUUAUACCUUCUGUUUACAAUUUUAUAUGCAAUCAGUUUGGUCAAAGUAUUAAGCAAAUUAGGACAGAUAAUGCACAAAAGUUUAAUUUGGUUGAAUUCGAUUCCUCAAAAGGAAUUAUUCAUCAAAACUCUUGUGUUGGCAUACUUCAACAUAAUGGUAUAGUUGAAAGGAAACAUCAACACUUAUUAACAAUAGCUAGGUGUUUUAUGUUUCAGUCCUUAUUACCUAUCAAAUUUCGGGGUGAGUCCAUUCUUAUGGUUGCACAUAUUAUAAAUGGGCUUCUUUCUCCACUUCUCAAGAAUAAAACUCCUUAUUAAAUUCUUUUUCAAAAGAGUCCUACCUAUACACUGUUAAGGGUUUUUGGUUCUUUAUGCUUUGCUUCUACAUUGUCUAAUCAUAGGAAAAAAUUUGAUUCCAAGUCUAGAAAAUGUGUUUUCCUUGGUUAUCCUAUAAGAAUUAAAGGUUAUAAACUAUAUGAUCUAAAUGUACACAAAAUGUUUAUUUCUAGAGAUGUACUAUUCUUUGAACAUUUGUUUCCAUUUCAUAUAGAUUUUGAUUCUACCACACAAAAUUAUAUUCAAUUCUUUGCUCCUAAAAACACUUUUAAUGACUCUCAUCAUCAUUCACCACAUCCUUUAUUCUCUAAUUCUUAUACUACUUCAAAUUUUGAUUUUGAUAGGUUUAAUCUUUCUAGUUCACAUGGUAAUUCUCCUUUUGUUAUGCAUUUUAAUCAUAUUGAUCAUGAUUUGGCAUCUAUCAGUACAUUUACACAUAUUUCUGUUGAUCAGAAUGUUCAUAUUUCUCCACCUAAUUUUUAUGACCAACAUGCUCCUGACACCCAUCAUCACUGUUUUGUUCUUGUAACUAAUAUCUCUCACCCAAUAAACACCAGAAAAAGUGUUCAACCUGAAUAGCUUCUUAAAUUCCUUGUCCUGUAUCUCCACAACUUACCUACUCAUUCUAAUUCAGUUAUAGCACACUUUAUUUCUUGUUCUUUGUCAACAAAUCAAUUGUCUGAAACCUCUAAAGCUUAUAUAGCUUUUCUUGAUCAUAUUCCCGAACCCAAAUACUUUCAUCAAGCUAUCACAUAUGAUGAGAGGAAAGAUGCUAUGAAAAAUGAACUUGAUGCUUUGGAGGAUAAAAAAACAUGGACAGUAGUUCCUCUUUUUGAUGGUGCACAUAUUAUUAUAUGUAAAUGGGCAUAUAAAAUCAAGCUUACCACCGAUGGCAUAAUUGAAAGGUACAAGGCUUGUCUUUUAGCUGAAGGAUACAGUCAACUAGAAAGAUUCGACUACCAUGAAACUUUUAGUCCGAUUGCAAAACAUACAACUGUAAGAGUGUUUUUAGCCAUGGCAGCUAUUAAAGGGUGGCAUUUGUCUCAACUCGACAUAAAUAAUGCAUUCUGGAUGAGGUAGUAUACAUGGACUUUCCUCAAGGAUAUGCAUUUCAGGGGGAGUGUUCUAUGACUUCUCGGAUCGUACGCAGACUUAAUAAAUCAUUAUAUGGCCUGAAGCAAGCUUUUAGGCAUUGGAACUGUAAGUUUACAAAUUCUUUAUUGAAGUUUGGAUUUCAACAGUCUAGAGCAGAUUAUGCUUUGUUUACAAAAACUGAAAAGAAUGGAGAAUUUGUGGCAUUCUUGGUUUAUGUAGAUGAUAUAAUAAUUUCUAGUUCUCGUGUUGAGGCCUCUGAUAAGGUGAAAAACUAUUUGAAGACAUAGUUUAAGCAUAAGGAUUUGGUUGAAAUUAAGUAUUUUCUAGGCUUAGAGGUUGCUAGUUCCAAAAAAGGAAUUUUUGUAUGUCAAAGGAAAUAUGCUUUAGAUUUAAUUAAUGAGUAUGGUCUUCUUGGUGCUAAACCUUUGGCAACCCCUACUGAGUAUAACAACAAGCUUUCUAAAGAUAAUGGUGGCACAAUCUUGACAGAUUCUACUAUGUAUGGACAAUUAGUUGGAAAGCUGUUGUAUCUUACAUUCACCAGACCUGAUAUUGCAUAUUCAGUACAAGUUUUAUCUCAGUUCAUGGACAAACUAACUGUUGGUCAUUUACAAGCUACUUAUAGGGUAUUGAAAUACCUAAAGAAAGCAUCGGGACAAGGUAUAUUGCUUUUUUCUACUUCUAACAUACAUCUCACAGUGUACACAGAUACUGAUUGGACAGGUUGUAGAGAUACUAGAAGGUUUGUGACAGGUUUUGCAAUAUUUCUUGGUCAUUCUUUGAUUAGUUGGAAAUAAAAGAAACAAGGAGUUGUUGCUAGAAGCUUUGCUGAGGUAGAAUAUAGAACUAUGGUUAUUGCUUGUUGUGAGGUCGUUUGGCUAUUGUGUUUGUUAAAAGACUUUGAUUGUAAUUGUUUAGUUGCUGCAACCAUGUCCUGUGAUAAUCAGGCUGCCUCACACAUCUCCAGAAAUCCAACAUUCCAUGAAAGAACCAAGCACAUCUAGGUGGAUUGCCACUUUAUUAGAGAGAAAGUGCAAGCUGGUAUUGUACUUCCACAGUAUGUCUUUACCAAGGAUCGAAUUGCAGAUAUCUUCACCAAAGCUUUACGACUUGCACAAUUUUAUGGACUUCUCAGCAAGAUGAGCAUCCUCAACAUUCAUGCUCAUUUUAAAGGGGAGUGAAAAAGAUUAUUAUUAUGCACAUGAUUGUAAUGCACAAUUAACUUAAGAUACUUGUGUAUAUACUCAACAAGGUAGUUAGGCAUUUCUGUAAAUAGAUAGUAAUGGUGAGGUUAGUUUUGUAAAUAAACAACAAGUUAGUUACUUUACCCUUGUAGCAGGAUAUAAAUCUGCAUUCUUCUAUAAUAUUCUUUUGACGAGAAUAUAAAAUAAAUUCUCUUAUAGCAUGCUUGGUUUAUUAAAAAGAAUAAAAUGAUAAUAGAAUAGUCAUUCCAAAAAAAAUAAAAUAGAGAAAAAAUAACUAUUAUGUAGAUUGGUUUAUGAAAAUGUAAUAGAAUAGAAAUUAUUAUUAUUACUUAUUUCAUUAUUUGGUUAGCAGGAAUAAUUUUAAGAAUGGUUAAAAAAUAAUGUGUAAAUGAUAAAAUACUUUUUAUUAAAAUUUAAAGAUUUUUUAAUUAAAAAAAAAACUAUGAUGAGAAAUAAAUAUUGUUUAUUAAAAUUAAAGAAUUUAUUUGUUAAAAGAUAAAAAUAUUCUGAGCAAUAAAAUCAAAAUGACUUUUAUUAUAAUUAAAUAAUAUUUUCACCAAAAAAUAAACACAUUUUUAUUAUAAUAUAAUAAUAUUUUUUAUUAAAAGAUAAUUAAACUUUUUAUUAUAAUUAAAUAAUAUUUAAUAUUAAAAGAUAAAAUAUAUUCUUCAUUAAAUUUAAAUAAUACUAAAUAAUAUUUUUUAUUACAUUUAUUAUAUUCAAAUAAUAAUAUUAAGUAAUAUGCUUUAUAAUAUUUAUUAUAAUAAAAUAAUAUUAAUAUAUUAAAUAAUAUUUAAAUAUUUUCAUUUCCCUUUUUUUGAAAAUGAAGUAAAAAAUUUUGUAUCUUUUGUGCUUUAGAGAGAGAAAAGAAGUGAGGAAGAGAGAGAAAAAAAAUAGGUUUAGUAUUUUUUAUAAGAUAAUUUUUUAAAUUGUAAAAGAGUAUAUUUGUCUAAUUAACUUCUUUUCUUAUUCUCAACAAUUUGGAAUAGCUAUUACCAAGGAGGGUUUGGUAAUGGCUAUUCAAACUUCUCUUGGAAUGGUUUUUCUAAAGAAUAACCAUUCCAUUGAAUCAAAUACAGUUUUAUCUCAAGAAUGAGAAUAAGGAAAGAAUAGCUACUCUAUUCCCCCCAACCAAGCAUGCCCUUAAUUCUUCGUUCUCAACUUAUUUUUGUUCUUCCAAAUCACAAAAGUUAACAAUUUACUAUCAUCUUUUUACUUAUAACUGAGGGUAGAAACUAAUGUAAGUGUCAAUACCUUUUGUAAGUGAAAAACUAAUGUGCCAAAAGAAAACAAAAUUCUUUUUUUUUUUUAAAUAUCACUCUUAUUUUAUUUGGUUUAUAGAAAUGUAGCCUAAAAACUUCAAGCACACUCAAAUUAUCUUGGAUUUUUUAAAAUAUUUCUUGUAUGCUAUAAUUGAAUUCUACUUUGUACCUUGUUCAUCAAAAUAAAAUUUAGAAAAUUGAGCAUAUGAUUGUUCCUCAAUGAAGUUUUGAACUUUAUGACUUAUUCUUUUUAUAAUCUUAAGAAUGACAUUUGUUUUUCUAUAAAAAAUAAGAGUGAGUAAAAUUAGACCGAAUCAAUGGCUCAAUCAAAGCAAAUGUGAUUUGGAUAAAAUAAUUUUAUUCAAUUGAUUCAUUGGACCUAUUGGUCUAAAAAAUUUGAUUCAAUUAAUUUAUUUAUUUGAUUUUCAAUUUUAAAAUUUUUGAAUUGAAUUAAUAAAAAACCAAAUUAAUAUUAUAUAUAUUAUUUUUAAAUUUAUAUAAAAUAGUAUAUUUUCGUUACUAAGUUAUUACUAGGCAAGCUAGUACUCGCCGUUCCGCUCAUAACCUGUUCUUUCUUUCCCUUCUUCAUUUUUAACUACCCUCCCACCGUCCUUUACUCUUUUUUCUCUUUCUUUCUUUCUUCAAAUCUAAACCUAAACUCCCUAAACAAGCCCCACCUUAACAUAUUUUUUAUUUUGUUAAUGCAUUUUAAAGAUGUUAAAGAUUAGGAUAGUGGAUUUCAUUUUCAUAAUUGACGACUAAUUAGUGAAGAUGUUGAAAAUACAUUCUUCACACUUCAAUUGAGGUAAAUGUUACAUUUUAUAACUUUUUACGUACUUUUUCAUUUUUAAUCUUCUUUUUACUUUGUUAUUAAAAAAAAUUUACACUAAUUAUAUAUUUUUUUUAUAUUCUUCCAAUUUUUAGAUAGUUUUUGUGAGUGAAUGUGAAGAGCCAAGUCAUAGAGGAGAUUCAAGUUGAUGAUGUGUAAUGGUUAAUUCUCUUGUGUUAAAUGGUUUUAUUUUGUAGGUGUUAAUUUUAUUAUUUUUGUUAUAUUGAAUCUUGAAUGUUAAUUUAAUGGUUAUUGUAAAAUGAUAUAAUUAUAUGAAUAAAAAAACAAAUGUUACAUUUUUUUAUAUUUAGAUUAUUUAUAAAUUUUAUAAUUAUAAAUAAAAUUUAUAAAUUUUAAUAUUAUAAAUAAAAUUUAUAAAUUUUAAUAUUAUAAUUUAUAAAAAAUUAUAAAUUUAAUUUUUAUUCAAAAUUGAUCUGAUUGAAUCAAUUCAAUUUUUUAUAUAUAAUUAAUUAAUUCAUUUUUAAAUAUAACAACUCUAGCUAAUGAAAUCAAACCGAUUCGACCGAACCACAGAUUCCUAAUUCAAAGUUCUAUUAGAGGAGGUGUAAAAAAUUGUCCAAGAGUCACAACUCCCAAGUCUUUAGUCUUACGUGCUUCAUUCAUGGAAAAGUCAACCGAGAAUUCAAUUGCAAGGGCAUUAUUGGACAACGAAACCUCGGACUGGAGAUGUGAGAUUCAGGUGGACGGAAGAAGGCAGGUACUUGAAAAACUCCAUCCUCUUGUCCUAAAAUCCCAGUUUCCUUCUUCUCUAAUCAAACUCCUUUUUGUUGUAACAACAAUUUUUUUAUUUAGUAUAUCAUCUAAUGCUUCCCAAUAAUUCAUUCCCAAACCACGUUUUCUUCUUCCUUUUAAAUCACACCCGAGAAUUGCAGUGUUCAUUGUUAAAAGAGUUUCAGAUUUUGAAGAUCAAUUUUUUUUCCUUUUAUAAUGCAAUCGAAAACCGUAAGCCUAGCUCCAGGAUUCACCCUUUUCCCAACCCUAAAACCCCCACAUAAAACCUUAAUCUUCCACCAAAUCCUUAUCUUUAUCCUCACUUUCUUAGCCUACGCCUCUUUCCACGCUUCCCGGAAACCCCCCAGCAUUGUAAAAAGCAUCCUAGGACCCACAAUUCAAUCAAAUUCAAGCUCAACAGACGCCGGAUGGGCCCCGUUUAACGGGCCGGAAGGAACCCACAGGCUCGGUGAGCUUGAUCUUGCAUUUUUAUCGUCAUACGCAAUAGGGAUGUAUUUUGCUGGACAUGUAGGUGAUAGGAUUGAUUUAAGGCUUUUUCUUGUGUUUGGAAUGAUGGGUAGUGGCCUUUUUACGAUAAUUUUCGGGUUUGGUUACUGGUUUGAUGUUCAUUUGUUGGCUUAUUUUAUGGGAGUUCAAGUUGUUUGUGGGGUUUUUCAGUCUAUAGGUUGGCCUUGUGUGGUUGCCGUUGUGGGGAACUGGUUUGGGAAAGAUAAAAGAGGGUUGAUUAUGGGGGUUUGGAGUUCACAUACUUCUGUUGGCAAUAUUAUUGGGUCUGUUGUUGCUUCUGGGGUUUUGGAGUUUGGUUGGGGUUGGUCGUUUUUGGUGCCUGGGGUUUUGGUUAUUGUGGUUGGGGUUUUGGUUUUUUGUUUUUUAGUUGUGAGUCCUGACGCAUUGGGGUUUGAGAUGAUGGAAUCUGGAAAGGAGGUUGAGAUGAAUGUGGAGGGAGAAAGUGUGGGAAAUUUAGAGAAAAUAGAGUCAGAGGAAGCAGGGCUGCUUGAGAACGAGGAAUCUGAUUCUUUGGCUGCCAUUGGAUUCUUGGAGGCAUGGAGGUUGCCAGGUGUGGCACCGUUUGCUUUCUGCCUGUUCUUCUCGAAGUUAGUGGCUUAUACAUUUCUGUAUUGGUUGCCCUUCUACGUGAGGCACACAGGUACUUGUUAUCACUUGAUGUGGUUAUUUUACUUGAUUAAAUUUUUUGGAUUUCCAAUGGAAAAUUUCUAUAGAAAUGCAUUCUCAAUGACCAAGGCCAUACGAAAGGGGGCCAUAGUUUACAAUUUUUUUUUGAAAAGCAUCAAGAAAGUUUUCAUUGCUUGGAUUUAAUUACAAAAUACUACCCUUGUGUGGUAGUAGUGCAAGUUAGCUCAUUGCAGGACAGAUGACUGCCACGACUACCCUGCAUAUUAAGAAAAAGAUAUCAAAAAUACAUUUGGUUGCUAAUAAGAUCAAGCAUAAGCCCCAGGGAACAGGGGGCCUGCUCCCAUACAAACAAGAAACCAAGAGACAGACCGUGAUCAUCCCACUGCAACCAAAUUUCCUCUAUUUUUACGAACCACCCACAAUGUUGUGAACCAACUAACCCUCAUGAUAAAGACAGCACCUGCUUAUACUGACAAGGCAGCCAUCCAUGUACAUCAGAGCCUUUACUUUCAAAAGAUAGUCAUGUUCAUUGAUUUUAUGUGGUCCUCAAUAGCCCUUGAUGCAGCACCUCUAAACCCCUGUAACCCUAUACAAAAACAAGUACCCUUCCCCUCCAUGCCAACACAAAAAACAUCAACCUUAACAACAAACCAAACUUAGCCACACUGCAUGAAGUGACUCACAGUAACUGUACCUAAGCCCAUCCAGUGUUCACAACCAGCACACUAGAAACUCUAUGCUCAAGCGGCACACUGAAUCAUCAAACUCAGGUAGCAUCCGGAUGAGGACUCAGCUGUCCUCAUUAACCUUUAAACUAUGAACCGAUCACAGCCUCAAACAAAACAUCUCACAGCAGAAAAUAUGGCAUUGACUGACAAUAAAAUUCAUCCAAGAAACAGCACUAUUACUGUAUGUUUCCUGCACUGAAAAUCAGAAGAAAUAAAAUCCAGACACCUGCAAAAACAUAACCCAGCUCAAGGUCCUUGGAAACGUUCACUCUUCAUCUUCUGAAUUUUGCCAGGGCCAUUCCCCAACUCUGUCACCUGAGGCUGUGACUUUUGUAAAAUCAUAAUCCUCAAAAACAGAGAAACUUUCAUGUUCAUAAUGCAGUGCAACCCUUUCCCUAGCAUUCAUCCCUCUAACCCAAAACAAACAUCAUCCACAACAAUUCCAGCAACAUAGCAAUUUACAGGAAACCAUCACCAUAUCUUGCCAUGACAAUUUUGCAAAACAUCCUGGGCAGAGGACGUGCCACUCAAGAAAACUCAGCAGCAGAACAACUACCUUAUCCUAUUAGAACCAAACAAUCACACAGCAGUAUAUAUCAAUGAUCAACCUGUGACAUAGUUCCAAUAUGAACCCAAAAACAUAAUUCGCCCAAAUCAGAACACUGUCAAAACAGUACAAAGAAUUAGUCGAAUCAGGCAUUGAUUCAAUCUUCAUUUUUCUUAAGUUAAGCAUUUCAUAUACUAGUAUUGACUGUGGCAACAGCAUGAAAUGCAUUUAAUGGCCCUAUAACAGUUGAUUAUAAGGUGUUAUACUGUGGAGCUUGAGCAUGUUUCAGAUGCUUUAAUCUAUUACUGCUCUUUGAUUAGCUAAAAUGACAUGUUUAUUACAAGUUUGUGUUGGAACUGUAGCUGUUGCAGGAGUGCAUUUGUCACAUAAAACUGCUGGGAUCCUCUCUACAUUAUUUGAUAUUGGAGGAGUCUUUGGUGGGGUGAUGGCAGGUUUCAUUUCAGAUAUCAUUGAAGCUCGUGCAGUUACUUCAGUAACUUUCUUAUUAUUAUCAAUUCCAGCACUCAUUUUGUACCGGGUUUAUGGAAGUGUUUCUAUGGUUUCCAAUAUCACAUUGAUGUUUAUCUCUGGGUUGCUAGUGAAUGGCCCAUAUUCACUUAUUACAACAGCCGUUGCAGCUGAUCUUGGUACCCAGGACUUGAUUAAGGGAAACUCUCGUGCUUUAGCUACAGUGACUGCAAUCAUUGAUGGUACUGGCUCUGUUGGGGCAGCUCUUGGCCCCCUUUUGGCUGGGUAUAUAUCCACUAGGGGUUGGAAUAGUGUAUUUCUAAUGCUUAUUGUGGCUAUAUUCUUUGCUAGUUUAUUCUUGAUUCGUGUUGCAAAAUCUGAGAUUGAAAGGGUCAAUGAGGGGAAAGGGCUUUGGAGUGGUGUGACCGCAAGGUGAUGUGGUUUCUCUAGGCAUCGACUGUUUUUGUCUAUUGCAUCCAUAGAAGAGGAUCUCAUUAGGAUACAGCAUGUGAUGUAACAGUUUUCUGUUCAGUAUACCGAAGUCUUGUAUUGUAUCUCAUUCUUUUAUACAGAGAAAAUCUUCAAUUCACUUGUACAUGUAAAAUUUUGUAUCAGAAUAAACUUCAUUCCUCUUUUUACCUUUAGUGGAUCUAAGUUUGUACUCUUAAAUGCUCACCCUUUAUAAUUGAGCAAACUGGUGUCCACCGGCCAGGUAUAGCUUUUGGCAUCUUCUUUGUAAAGAGGAUUAAGAACGGAAACUUUCAUCUCUUUGUUUGUACAGGAAGUUCUGUUAAAGUGAUUCUUUCAAAGGGAGGUGUUAGUUGUCUGUCUGCUGGAGGUGAUUGCCUAGAUAGACAUCUAACCAGGUCAGAAAUUGAUCCAACCAGUCUAAAGGUCAUGAAACUUGGGAGUAUAUCUUCUUAAUCUUGUGAUAUUUUGGUGUGUGUGCACGUGCACGCAACACGUGCAGACACUCUCAUUUCAUGAUGGUAUGCUAGUGUUGGAUGCACCAAGUAGCAUAUGCUACAUUGUAUAUUCAACUCUUUAUUUCCAUUAUGGUAGUGUUGAGUUGGAUUCCCUAAGUCGCACAGGCUACACAGGCCACUUGGUGGUCCGACCCUGUGGAGUCCACUUGCAUCCCCAGAUAUCCCCUAAAGGGAUAGAGGAAAUUGUGAGAAAUCAUCCCUACAGGAAUAUCCGUUCAAAAGCCAUCUUCGAGCUCAAAACAGUGAGACUAUGCCUGCUUCUAUGGUUAAGAAACUACCUUGAGACUCAGAGGAUUACUAAAAAGAUGGCUAUUAAACUGUCAGCAGUUCAAUGUUAGCACAAUCAGGAGCAUGGCAAUUGUGUGCGAUAAUAUAUAUUAAAAAAAUAGUACAAUAACAGAAUUAUUUCUGUUUACAAUCAGCUGUGCCCCUUAUAUACAAAUCAAUUCUGUUCCUCAAAUUAUCCUGGAGCUCCAUUAGAAGCCAAUAAGAAUGAUUGCGAAAGAGAAUCUAAAAUCUAUCAAAUUAUGAAUUAUAAUUCCAUAAUUUGAUUCUUUCAAAUUUUCUUCUUCUAUUGGUGAAUGUAUAUACACAGGAAGAUCCCACCUGACAGCCAAGUACAAUCAUUAGCUGGUUCCCUCCUUUAUUUAUCACGUACAGAGUGAUAAACAAAUAUAUAUUCUAUCCUUCUAAAAGGCAUUUGAGACUCUGAAGCCCCUCAGCAGAAAUACUUCGCCUGACUCUAACCCUUUGUAUGACAGAAGAGGGAGGUGGCUCCAAGUGAAAACUAACCAGAACAACUGUCAAAUUGUCUGUUGCUCCUCUUUUUAUUCCUUCUUCAACUAUUUCUUUGCAGCACAACUUCACAUCAUUGUGCUCCUGUAGCCGCCUCCUUGCAAAAUCUAUGGCAUUUUGGCUGGUAAAAACAUCCCAUAUUCCAUCACUGCCAAUGAUCAAAAAUUCAUCUUCCUUGGUCAAUGUUAUCAUUUUAAGUUCUGGUUCAGCACUUAAAGGGCCAACCCUCCCGCCUGUUUCCUUCAUACCUUCAAGGUGCCAAUCACCUAAUGCCCGGGUGACACCCAGUUGGCCAUUCAAAUACCCAUCAUCAAUGAAUCCACCCAGAGACUCAAUUCGUCUCCUCUCUUUCAAGCAACAGGGCCUAUGAUCUUUGGACAUCUCUAUAGCUGUUCCAUGCCGUGAUAGUACUGCCCUACAAUCCCCAGCAUUUGCCACAAGUAGAGACCUGUCAAAGAUAAGAUCAUACUCCAGGCAAAGCCAAAACCAUAAAUGUUGAUUAAAAUAUAUAUUCCAAACAAACUACUAGAUGUCCAAACCGUGCACACAAAAAGUCUCUUUCAUUGAUUCACUUCUCCAAACUCACAUACACUAAAUUGUAAAAUGUUGCCUUUCUCAAUUUCUAUCUUCAUUUUGUUCCUUGCCAACCAGAGAAAAGAGGAGGGGCAGAGAAAACAGAAAAAGCACAGUAAGGCCAACCCAAAAAGGUUUGGAAGUGCUUACCUCCCAAAUAUGAUUGCAGUGAGAACAGUAGUGCCAGAAGCCAAGGCAGACUCAAGGGAGCAUGACUUCGCAAAUGCAGCAUCAGUCGCCAUGAAUGACCUGGUCACUGCUUUCUCAAGUUCUAAGGGAAAACCAGCAUCCUCAACAAUUACUCUAGGUAAAUGAUCACGGACAAAAUGAGAUGCACCCUUCCCUUCAUGCCCAUCAAAAACCUGUUUUUGAUGUCAAAAAAGAGAAUGCUUAUGUAUUCUUGUGAGCUUAUUUUUCUUUUAUGCUUUAUUUAAUGUGAUUCAAGAGCGUUAGUUUUGGCUGACAAAACAAGUUUUUAAUCUAACAGAUAGCUAUUCUUGGUUAAAGGUCAUGUUUCAAUAGAAAAUAAGUAGACAAGGUCUCUAUCAAGAGCGUUAAAUACCCUUCUGUUUGUAUCCCUUUUUUUUUAACAACUCUGCAUCCAAUUCAUCCUUUAUCCCUUCUGUUUGGUCAUCCUUGCUUGGGUAGACUAAAGAGCUAAACUAAGAACAUAACUCAUAAACAUGAAUUGCUGACUCAAUUCAUGUUAGGUUUACAUGCUGAAAAACUUUUAUGCUAGGGUUUGGGAAGGACUAUGCAAAUUAUUACUGCAACUUUCAAGAUGGCUAAUGUUAAGAAGCAGCAGCAGCAGUAACUUUUAAUCAUUAAUUAGAAGCAACAUGUUCCAGCAUUUUAUAUGCAUCCAAAAAUAUAAUCUAAUAAUGGGGAAGAAAAGAUGACUUGAGAGAUGACAAAGCUUAUUUGCCUUUCCAAUUAAGUCAGUUAUGUGAAAAUGACCCAUCUGAAUUUCAGCAAGAUGAUCAACUGCAUAAAGCUUCUAUUCCUAGAGCGACAGUUGAACAAGAAUGUUUGGUUUAUCUCCAUAUUCUAAAAUAAACCACGAAUACAUAAGAAUAAAAUGGUAUUCAGAAAUAUUGGAAAAUCUAACAGGACAACAUAUCUAAAAUAAGGAUGGUUUAUAAACUUACACCAUAGAAGGAAACAGCUUCUUCACUCAUUAAAUUACAACUGAAAUUCUUAGCCAAGUCUGCAAUGCAUAUAUGAGUAUCCUCCAUGUAGGCACGACCCCCAAUGUCAGACCACUCUCCAGAUCGAAGAGUGGGGACAAAAUUUGUCAACACAUUAUGUUUUCUGUCUGUGGCAACUGCAUCCUCAGAAAUACUUUCCAGCUGAAUGAAAGAAAAGUGCGAAUGAGACUAUUAGAAAAAUACAAUAAAAGAAACCUGCAGAAACCUUUACAAGGAAGAGAAGGUAAUAAAUGUACUUAAUCCCUAUCCAGAAACAACUGCCUAGCAUAUCAAUGUGUUGAUUUUACUAAUUAAUAGUUCUCCAAAGAAAACUUCACAAAAACAAAUAGCAAAAUAGAAAUUAUAACUGCAGGGCAGACACUUCUAAAAAUGAUCUCACUUGCAGCACGGGCGAGGUUAAGAAGAGAUAAAGCUUUAAACAAAGAAUAAUAGUGUAAUAGCAUGAAUACAAAUUCCAUCAACAAAAGACUGACCACACUCUCUAAGUACCCAGGGUUUGGGGUAGAUUGAAAACCCUACAGAAUAUAAAGCUAAAUUCUGAACAUACUUCAACUAUACUCCUAGUUAGACCCUAACUAUCAGAGUGUAUACUAUUUACCACAAGUCCACUUGUGUGAUAUUCAAUAUUUGAACAUUUUAUGAAGAAAGGUAGAUCAUAAGCUGGCAUACGCUGCAUACAACAUUUGGCAAAAUCCUUAUACCUACAAAAUGUAAGGAUUUUUUUCCCUUAGAAAGAUUGUCGGCAAGGAAAACCUUAUACCCCGUGACACCAAGAUAUCUGUUCCUUAUAAAGAUCAAGAAUAAGAAGUCAGAUUUCAAUACAUGCUGAAUUGGUUCCAGAGCUAAACAUAAACAUCAGACCUUAUUUGAUAUUCAUAGAUUACAAUGUCAAAGAAGUCACCUAAUAUCUGUGCUAAAUCAUGAGAACCCACUUCGAGUUCAUUCCUAUAUAGGAGUAAUUAGAACAGCAUGUUCUAAGCUGAGAAAAAAGCAAAUGCUAAGAACUUUCCACAACCCUCAACAGCUGUGAGCAGUUGACUUACAUUAAAGCACUGGACUCUGCAGUGAAUCAAUAAAGAAAGAACUUACAUUAAUUUAAGCAGAUAAGGCGCCGUAAUACAAUUUAAAGAAGCUGUUACAUCAAACCUGAUUUAUAGGAAAAUGACAUAACAAUAGAUUCCACUUUUGGUUAUUUUGGUGUAACAGAGAUGCAAGUGACCAUCUCUGGCUAUGGCUUCGUGAACAAGCAUUCCUCACUAUCAAAAUAACUUCUAUAACAUUUAAAAGAGGAAGUUCGCCAUAACUACAUUAUAGUAGUCCAAUUUUGUCAACUCCCAUCAGGCUUAUCAUCUAACCUACCGUGGAGCAUGCAGCUAUGUACUAAAUGAAUACAGUCCAACGCCAACAACAAAUUUCAUACUGUUCUUCCAUACCUAUCUUUCAACCAGAAAUAGAAAAAUACAUGUGAUAUAAAUGGAAAAAAAAAACAAAUUGAAUAAACAAAAACACACAUGUUAAGUUCCAAAUAAUAAAAGCAUGAUAAAACAAAGAAAUAUACGGUGACCCAACCCUGCAAUUCAAUCUUAUCUAAACCACUCUAUUUUUUAUUUAAUUUAUCGAUAAUCAAAAGUCAGAUUAAUUGCAAGCAUACAACAGAAGCAGAAGAAACUAUAAACAAUAAUAAAACCCAAUCGAAAUGGAAUAAGUAAAUAACUAAAUAAGAAUAAAAUCAUCAGUAUCCACCAAUAUAUAUAUACAAUCAGAUAAAGCGGGAGACCAGUUUUGCAGAUGACCGCCCUCCAAGUCCAAUAAACAACAGCAUGAAUAUAGAAGAAUUUAAUAUUAAAAAGACUAACAACAAAAAGCAAAAACAAUUUUCUCUCUCUCUUGUGAACAAAACAGCUUCAUGAAUACAUUAUAGAUGAAUCUGACAGAAAACUGAACAUAAGUAGCUGAUGGGACUGGGAUAAUUUAAAAAACAUGCCAUUAUGAGUGGUGAUCAAAGUGCAUAUAAAGGGAAGAAAGUAUCAAUAUUGGCUAUUUUACAUAAAGCUAAAUGCUGUCCACGAACACAUUUACAGCAACAAAUUUCUCAACUUGAAGCAAAAUUUAACCAAAAGACAAGUACCCAGAACAGAAUUAUAAGAAACUGUAUCAUCGAUAGCCACCUUCUCUUCACACAAAAAAAAAAAUUGUUACAGGAAAUGAAGUUUGGAUACUGACUCUAGAGCUGCCACUGACCAUAGCCACAGGAGAGUCUUUAUCAUCCCAAUUCUCCAUCUGGGUACAGAAGAAAUCACCCCCACAAAGCAAAGGCCAAGUCUUUUUGUUAUUGCUGUCAUCAAGGUCCUCCAUUUCUUGGCUGACCUGCUCUGCAUCUUUAACACACAUGAUGGUGAUGAUGCUGUUGAUUAAAAAAACAAAAGGAAAAAAAAACGUUUUUGAUGGGUGGCUUUCUUUUUUCAGCUUCGCAGCAAGUUGAUAAGCGUAUCCAGAGUAACAGGAGCAAAAAGAAGAACAACAAAAGAGAGAGAAUCAAAAGGAAAAUAAUGGACUGGAGAGAAGAUUCUUGAGAAUAUAUUGCAUUGGCUCUGAGUUAAAAAUGGAGGGUCCCUUCCCUUGCUUAUUAUUAUUUUGUGCUUAUAUUAUUAUUCUUAAGGUGCCGUUAAUAACAAUUCCAGAUUUUUCUUAUGAAAGCGUGGCUGAAAAUCAGCUCUAUUGGUUGGUUGGUUUUUCUUAAUGCUUUUAUGAUCUUCUUCUUUUCUGGUGCAAGCUUUUCCCUUCCUUUUCAAAUGUUAGCAUCAUGUCUCAAGAAAUGUCCUUCUCUUUAAAUUACCUUCCAGACCCUGCCCUUUUUCCAUAUAUUUGUAUAAAAUAAAGAUUGUAGACUUCAGUCUUCAACAUAUAAUGGAAAAAGGAUCUUUUUAAUUGCUUUGUAUGAAGCGUCUGCAAACUUACACCGUGUUUGCUAGGAAAGAAAUUCAAAGAAAUGAAAGGUGGAAGGCAAAGUUGCAGGAAAAAAUAUAUAUUUCUUCUCAUUGGUAGGUAUGAAAUUUGAACAGCAAAUGCAAAUAACAUAUAGAUUUGCAUAUUUUUAUUCUCUCAAAACCCAAUUUUCCCACUGUUGAAAAGAAAACAUUCUUCUAAAUUCUAAUUAACAAUUAAUCAUUUUAAUUUAUUAUACCUACCCCCCAGAUGUUAUAAUAUUAUUAAGGGUUUUUUUUUCUUUGUUUUGUUUUAUUAUAUAAAUUGGUAUGUCUAAGAGUGGGUGGUUUGAACCUAAAUUUGUAAUUUUCUAACCCCUAAGGCUAGCUACCUAAAUGUGAGACAAAAGACCAAAGGUCCACAAUUAUUUUUAUUGAUUAUGUUAAUGUAAAUGUGAACCAUAUGCUGCUUAACCUUUUUUGACUACUAGAGAUUACUCAAGUCCUAAAUGGGCCUUGAUUAUCACCCAAAAAAAGAGGGUCUUGUUUUAUUUUCUGCUCUAAAUUUUGUAUAAAUUAUAUAUAUAUAUUAUUGUAUUAAUUAACUAAAAGUUAGGAAGUUUGGAAAAGUUUCCUGAAAAUUUAAAUAGAACCUGUCAUGUCCAUUUAUCUUCAAAUUUUGGUUAGAAGUGUCUCUUGUCUUUCCUGAUCUGGAAUUUUAACAAAAGAUGGUGUCUGAAAAGACCAUGCAUUGGUGGGAUUGGAAUGGUAGAGGUAAUGUGAGUGCAUUUACAAUAGGGACAAAUCUAAUGUGUUUCUUUUUUUUUUUUCUACAAAUGAAUGAUUUGUGAUAAACUAGUGAUAUGUUAAAUCAUGGUGGUUUGUUUUAUUUUAGUGGUAAUAAUUGAGCUAAAAAGAUUUGAAAGUGAAGGUUUAGGCAAUAGAAUCCCCAGUGUGAAUUCCAAGACAAGGAGUAGGGGAGGGGGAGCAAGAUGAUGUAAAGAAAAAGACAUAAGAUUUCUCUUUUGCUUUCCAUAAAGGUAGUGAUAAAAUAUCUUCCCUGUAUACAUGAUCAAAGAUUCAACAUUGGCUUCCAGAUUGUUGCCUUUGCACUAAUUGUCACUAACCAUAAAGUUGUUUCUUUUCUUAGACCAUCAUGCUUGCCUUUUUUGUAAUUUAUCUGUGAAGAAUCUUACGACCAAUUAUAUACGAAUUAAAUUAAAUUAAAUUAAAUUUUACUUUUAUUUAAUUUAAUAAAAUAAAUCCAUAAAAUUGGAUAAAUCGGCAACGUUGCAAAUGGGAGAAAGGAUAUUUAGGUUUAGGGUGGUCAAUUUCCAAUUAUAGGUCUAAAUGAGCUUUAAACGAGUAUUUAAUCGAGUCAAGUUUAUUUAUGUUUGAACUUUGCUCAUUUAUUAAAUGAAUUCUGAAAUUUUGUUCGAAUUAAUUUGUUUAAACAAAUAUAGACGAAUUUAACUUAAAUCUAUUUACGAAUUGUUUUGAAUCUUACAUGACAAUAUUUGAGAAAAAUAAACAAUUUUUAGCGUCAAGAUGCUGGUCAAAAAGCACUUAGCUUUAGCACGAUUGAUUUGGAGGAAAAGUUGAGUUACGCAAGCACCGCCCAUAACAAAGGCACCAAAAAGAUAAAUAGAAGCUCAUAAUUAAAUUUAAUGGGUAUUUCUUUUUAUUUUUUUUAUUUUUGACAUAUGCACAGUAAUUGAGAUAGACAUAAUGCUUUUCAAAAAAAAAAUUGGGAUAGAGACAUAAUAAUUUAUCAUGAUUUGGAAUUUCGUAUCUAUUAAGGAAACAAUUGAGUUAGAACAGAAAAGAUUUUUUUUUUUUUUAUAUAUAGAAGGGAGAAGAUAUAAAAGAACUUAUUACAUCAUCUUAUGCCAUGAUAUUAUUUUAAAUAUUGUAAAAUAAAUCAAAAUGUUUAUAUUGCUAAAAUUAAAGUAAAAGAAAAUACAAUAUAUUAUAUUAUUUAAAGAAAAGCAACAACGAAUUAGCAUUAUUUUUCUUAACUAUUAUGGAACUAAUCAUGUCAAAAUAAAAAAGAAAAAGGAGUUGGCGGUCAUUGGUGUUCUAAUGACUUCGAAUGCAUUCGAAAAUUUCAGAACUACAAGAAAAUUAAAAAAAUAUCGUCCAAUUAAACCAAUUAAACCUUGUACGUUUAUGCUAUUCCCUAAAGGUAGUGAUAAUAUAUCACAACAUUGGCUCGGAGAUUGUUGCCCCUGCAGUAAAGGUCACUAAACAUAAAGAUAUUUCUUUUCUUAGACCAUCAUUCUUGUCUUUUUGCAAUGCACAUGUGAAGAUUCUUACUACCCAUGAUGGGAAAAAAAAAAAAAAGAACCAUGAAAUUUUUACUUUUGUAUGGAAGAUGGAAAAAAAUAAUUUAAGGAGGGUAAAAAUAAGAAUAUGAUAAUGAUUUAAUUGCCUUGAUUUUAUUUUUAUUUAUAAAAAUUUAAAAUCUUCAAAUAUGAUUUAAUAAUAGAGAUACAUAUUUGUUAUCAAGUUCCAAUAUUUCUUCUUAAAUAAGAAAGAAAAAGAAAAAGUGAAAAUUUGAUAAACUUUCUUAGUAGGGGAAGAUAAGGGCGUGCGUCACCUUCAUGCAUGUUAUUAUCAAAUCAAUAUUGAAAAUAAUGCCUUAAUUCUUGUUGAAGAUACGUUAAAUGCCUUGAAAAUAGGCAAGGAGAGAUAAGUUCAAGAAAAGCAAAAAGCAGCCGUAAGUCAAGAUGUAAUGUGUUGAUCUAAAUUGCUGGCAAGAUGAAGCUGCAAACUUUAUUGACUGCAAUAUAAUAAUAGUCUUUAUCUUUGAAGAGCAUGGCAGCUAAAGUUAUGAUGUAAUAAUUCUUGGGUAUUAUUGUAAUUGACUCUAUCUUGUCUGAGCUAACCCCAGAAUAAGAAAAGCAGGCGUGGAGUGCGGAGAGACCAAUUUCUAAUUCGAGUGGCUCAUUAGGACAAGACCAAAAGCCGAUAAUGGUUGGAAAAUGCCAUGGAAUCUGGUGUUGUUGCAUUGAUACGUGGCAUGUUGUUGUCCAACAGUACUGCAUUUGUUGCGUGUUGGGGUUGCGAAUUCCAUUAGCAAAAUUAUCAUUAUUUUUAUUCCUUUGAAAUUCUCCUAUUCGUAUUUUCCUUUUGGACUGUCCUUAAACCUUAAUCCAAUGGAAAAUCUUUUUCUUUUCUAUGGAAAUAUAUGGACAAAAACAAGAAUAUCAAUGCCGUACUGCCUACGGUUGAGCAUUUCAGUUUUCAUAUAGAGAUCGAAACGCAUCAGUAUCAAUGUUUUUCAUAUUUUUUGCUAUAUAAAUAAAAAUGUAUAAACUUGGAAUAUAUAUAUAUAUAUAUAAACUAUUUUUAUCAGAAAUAUAAAUGUAUUAUACUAAAUAUUUAUAUGUUCGAAAAUUGAAAACAAAAACAUAGAAGAUUCAGAUCCAUAAUUGAAUUAACUUAUUGUAGAAAAAAAAAUUUUGUGAAAAUUAUUUUAUUAGAAAAUUUAAUAUUUUUAUUUAAAUAAAUAAUAUUUUCUGUUAUUUAAAUCACUCUGUAAAACAUCUUUUUCUCAUUAUUUUUCACAAAAAAUAUUUUCCCAUUUCUUACCUCAAUGCUAUUCAGUCCCUGGGAAAGAGAGAAUAGAACGGGAAGGCAGUAAAAGGGAUGGUGAAGGAGGUCGACCAAGGGGAUUAUCUUACGUCCUGCAACCUGCAACGGUUUAUUUUUCAUCGACCGGUAUCAAAAUUUUUGGUCAUUGCAUUUAGGAUUCAAUUGAUUUAGGAUUCAAACAAGAAAUAAUUUAGCCCAACCCUAUUUAUCUAUAUCUGUCCAAGAAAUAGCCCAUCUACUAUAAUAGUUAGCCAAUCCCACUUAACUUGACCCAAAAGCAUCAGCCUACUUGCUUAACGAAACUCAAGUCCCAAAAGCCUUCAUAAUGAGAAAUCAUUAACAAUCCUCUAGUCCAAAUUUGAUUUCCCCUCCAAUGUUUUUCUAUUUUCACAUUUUCCCUUUCAAUUCCGCUGCCUACCUUGAGUUCUGCACAUCUGCAUUAAUUUUUUGGAUAGCGGAUAUUAUGAUAACAUUGGGAUGUUAUGCAUUGAUGAAUUGAUUUGGUGAGUUCCUCGUGAGCAUGCAGGCAGGCAGUGUAGCAGUGGUGAAGGUCAUGAUUUGCUAAUUUUUUUACUAUAAUAUAAAAGACAAACCACCAGUCACAACCAUGGACAAUAAUACCGACUACAGGUGGCUUUUCUCUCCAUUUGGCAAUGAACAAAACGUAUGAAGACAGCUGUAGGACAGCAAGACUGAAAACUGAAAACUGAAAAUGAGUGACUACAACUAGAAUCCUCUCCCCCCCAACGCAACAUUGAAAGUAACUUCUGAUUUGUAGCAAAAUAGCGGAGAGCGGGAUUAAAAUCACUACUUAGCCGAGUGAAGUGUCCAUGAAUAAGGGCUGCAUAAUAGAUGCCUCCAAAUUAAUGUCCAGGUUAACUGUCUUGAACUAGAGUGAGAAAUGAAAACACCAGAAAGUUGAUCCACAAUCUUAAACAAAGUGAUAGAAAUAUUCUUCGAAAGUAAGUUCAUACUAAUGAAUCAAAAAUUCCAAUUGGAAAGCAUGUUCAUACUAAUGAAGCAAAAAUUCCAAGCCUAUUUGAGAACCAUAUAUAAUAAGGGAUAUCUUCAAGAUUCUAGAUGUCGUAAUUUAACAAAAUCCAAACAUAAAAGUGAAAGGAAAGAAAAACAAUAGCAAAAAACAUCUAACAGUCAAAGUUCUUCAAAUCUAGAGGCAGUUCAAGAACUUAAUAUCUUCUCCAUAGAUUCCUACACCGAAGAUACCACAGAACACACUCACACCUUAUAUUCCAGUGAAAGCUUUCUUCCCACCACCAGAAGAUCCAGCAGGAAUCACUUUCAAAACGUUGAACCUCACAGUCUUUGACAAUGGCCUGGAAUUAAAAAUUAUUAGACAUGAAUUACAAACAGCUAAAAUUGUCUACCCCUAUCUGUAAAAAUGAUUAGAUUCAUAGACAUUUAAUAAAAUCCUUGUGUUUCAGAACUUUUACCUGCAUUGCCCGAUAAUGACAUGAUCCCCUUCCUUCACACGGAAGCAUGGAGAAAUAUGUGCAGGAAUGUUUGAAUGCCUCUUCUCAUACCUAAAAAAAAAAAGGAAUUUAUCAAAAUAACUUCAAAAAAUAACUAUUCACAUAAGAAAAAUCCAUAAAAAAUGAAGCUGUAUCAUGCCUUUGGUAUUUCUUGAUAUAAUGAAGGUAAUUCCGUCGAACAAUGAUUGUCCUCAUCAUCUUGGCACUAUGACAAGUACCAGCUAAGAUACGACCCCUGAUGGAAACAGUGCCAGUGAAUGGGCAUUUCUUAUCAAUGUAGGUUCCUUCAGGAAACAAAUACAGAAAAAAAAAAAAUUAACAACCAGCAAUCAUAAUCUGGAUACCGACAGAACUGUUAACACAUAAAAACAUAUUCUCUAUAUCCCUUCCAAAUAUCAGAGUCUUCAUGUUAAUCAAGCCAAGUAGUAAACCAUCAUUUCUUUCUUAUAAAGUACUAUGUAUCACGCGUCAGUAUAUUAGCAUUAUAAAGGAUCCAUUAUCUGAAAUUUCAAAGGUAUGGCAAUAUAGAAAUAAAGCAAUUACUAUUUAGAAUGAUAUUGGCUUUUCCAGCUAACAACAAACAAAUGUUUACUCAGCUUACUAAAUGCAAGUAUCCAAGUAACACUCACAACUUAAAUAAAAUUUUACAUAAACUAAGCAUCCCCACCACCUAUAAUAAAUACAAUAAUAGAAAUAAAAAUUAAAAAAGGAAACUAAAAAGCCAACAAACCUUCAAUAGCUUCACGAGGAGUCUUGAAGCCCAAACCAAUGCUCUUCCAGAAGCGGUUCCCUCCCUUUCCUGGUCUCUUCCCUUUCCCAGAUUUCUUCGAGCUGAAAACAAUACAAAAUCAAUAAAACCCAUCUAAAAUAAAAAACCCAACUCGAAAAAUGUAAAAAGUUGCAAAAUUUUCAUGGUUUUUGAGUUUUGAGAUUACCUUAAAAACACUUUGGGUUGCUUCAAAAAUGCCUUCUCGGUCUGCAAACAAAAGAAAAACCAGAAAAUGAAAAGCCAAGCAUAGAGGGAGGGAGAGGGGGAAGAAGGAAAGAGAAUGGGAUCUGAAUGUGAACCUGUUCUGCCAUGGUUGAUGAGCUCUCUGGAGGGAGUGAGGCGCGGCUGCUGCGGGCAAAGAGAAGUAAAAAUGAGAGAGCUUUGCUACGAAAAACCCUAACCCUAACUAAUAAGUUGGCUUUUCAUAAGGGAUUCGUUUGGGCCACCUUAUCAAGCUGGGCCUUCAAAACUUGGGUCUUGAGAUCUUCUAUUUGGGCGAAUACAUGGUUUGUCACUUGAUUAGUUUUUCUUUUUUUUUUUUGUUGUGAAAAGUUAUUAUAAAACAAAUGCAAAAAAUAAAAAAAUAUAAUAAACUAAAUUUGGAUAAAUAAUUAAAAUAUAAAUACCAAUAUAACAUAAUUAGUUUAUAUAAAAGUAGAAUAAUAUGUUUCAUUAUUUUAAAAAAUUACAUAUUUUAUCUAUAGUUUUCUCAAAAUUAUUAUUUUCUUUUGUAUCUAAAUGUACAUAUUUAUCUAGGAUAUUUUUUUUUUGUUUCUACCUAAAAGGGUAAAUAUAAAAAUUUUACAGUUUACUUCCUUGCAUUACCAAACGAGAGCAUGAAUUUCAUCUUCCUUUAUCUUUAAUUUAUUCAUGAACCAAGCAAGGCCUUUCUAAUGCUCUGUUGCCUUAUGACUGGCCUACCUUUUUUCACUUACCUUUAAAUUUCCAUUACUUAGAUGUUGGCUUUAGGAAAAUGAAAGUAAUAAAGUUUUUAAGCUGCUUCUAAUAAUUAAUUUCAUUUUACUCUAGGUUGACUCGCUUGGAUAUUAGUUCCGCGUCAAGGUAAAUCAUUCUAUUGCUUUACAUGAUCGCCCUCGAAGAGCAUUCACUGAAAAGAGCAUGCAAAAGCAAGGUCUAGCCCCCACUAGGCACCCCAACUCAAAAACUGACCAAAGCAAAGUAAAUUCAAUAGCCAUUCUGUUGACCCUAAGCAUUUUUCAGAUUUUAGGCCUGAAAUGGCUACGGGCUAUAUCAACAACUCUAUUGGCAUUCUUAGGCGGAGUGCAAAUAAAAACAUUCACCCUGUGAUGGAGAUGUAUGCUGAACCUAUCAAUAUGGAGUUCUCUGAUGCUACAUCAAGUGAUUGGUCUCUUUUGACAAGCUCUGAUAAGGUUUCAUUUACAAUAGAGAGUACUAGAGACUCUUUCAGUACUGUGGACUAUGCUGAUGCCAGUAGUGGAGAUUCAUUGUCAAUCUUCAACAACUCGUUUACUCCAAAAUCCUCCUCUUACAACACGGUUUCGUGUAGAAUCUUGUCAACUAGUAAACCCCAGACUAGGUAUAUAUUAGAGGAGAAGGGUUAUGUUUUUGAUUCAUACUUAUUAGCCUAACUUGUGAUUAGAGUUCAAGAGAACUUGAAGCAGGUCGGUAAUUUUUUGACCAAAAUUUCUUUGGAUAGUGACUAUGGCAUGUCUGUAAAAUAUGGGAGUAACCCAAAAAAUGCUCUUGAUAGAACUUAUGGUCAUUGUGAACUAUAGCUUGUGAAAAUUCCAACUGAUUAAAUAUUGACUUAACCAGCUAGAAGUGUUGCCUCAAUUUUCGUUUCAAUGCUUUAUUGAUUGAGUUAUGUGGAUCGUAUUAAAAUAACCAAGGAAAGGAAUAUUCUUGUUAUUUUUCAAAAAUAUUUUUUGAAGAUUGUAUAGCGCCAGCAUUUAAAAAUAAAUGUUAUUCUUUGAAUGCUUUAGUCUGUUGAUAUUGAAAUGGUAAUGUUAAUGCCUCCUUUAAUACUUUCCACGACUUCUGCGUUGGGCAUUGCGCCGAGCUUAAUUAUUAUUGUUACCCCAAGCAGCAACAUUACCCCUCGAGUUAGCGGCACCAGCGUUGUUUCCAAGAGGAUUAGCCACACCAGCUUUGUUUCUACGGCCUCGAGUAUUGCCUUGAGCAGCAACAUUGCCCUUUGAUUAGCUACACCAACAUUGUUUCCAGGACGAUUAGCCGCACCGCAUUGUUUCCACGCCCUUUGCGAUCUCUGCGCUGAGCAUUGCCCCAAGCAACAGCAUUGCCCCCUGCACCAGGAUUAGCUGCAGCAGUUGCACGACAUUCACGUUCCUGUUCCUAUAAGUGCAUUAUAAAAAAAAAGCUAUAAAAUGAAAAAUAAUAGUGUAGAAGAAAACCUGCUUUGACAACAUAUUAGCCAACUUUGUGUAAAACAACAUAUGAGAUUGGAGUUGUAAAAAAGGCUUGCACACAUAUGCGAUUAGAGUUGUUUGAAGGGUAGUGGCAUAUCAUAAUGGUAAUUUCAGUUCACUAUGUACCUAAGGUAGUUUCAGUUCACUGCGCAUAACAACAUGAAGCCAGCAACUAUAGGCAAAUUUAUCCAUGUCUAUUAAAAUUCUAUAAUUUCUGCACUUCUCCCUUUAGCUGUCACAACCAAGACAUCCUUUGUAUCCCUAAUAAUUAUGUAAUUUAAAAGGAUACAAAAGAACAUUUUUGUAAAUGUUUUUGCAACUGACGUCUAAUAUAGUUUUUGCAGUGAGCGAUGGGACAAUUAUGUUGUUUUGGCAUGAUGAAUGGACCAGUGGGUGUGGUCCUGGCUCAUGCUUUUCAAGAAUUCUUGCUUUGGCAGAGAACAAAAAUAGCAAGAUUGUGGAAUAUGGUGGAUGGGAAAAGGAAAGAUGAGUCUAAAAUGUGAACCUUAGAAGUUAGCUUUUUGAUUGGGAAGUUGAUCAAUGAGAGCAUUUUGAGAAACUAUUGCAAGAUUUUCAGCUAAGUAAAGAACUUAAGGACGAGCUAAUUUGAGAAAAAGAAGCAAAUGGGAACUAUACUGCCAAGUCGCUCUGUAAGUAUGUCUUGUCCUCGAAUGUUGAAUAUAAUGGGCUAUGGAAACAUGUAUGGGCUAGGGUAGCACCUUUUAGGGUGGAAACUUUUGUUUGGCAAAUGGUUCACGGUAAGGUAGGGGUUAAGGAUGAGCUAGUUAAAAGGGGUGUAUAGUUAAACAAUUAGUUAGAUUGUGUGCUAUGUAAGAAAGAGAUAUGUAAUCAUCUAUUUAUUGAAUGUAAAGAGUCUUGGAUGGUCUGGUCGUGGUGGUGCAAAAGAUGGGGGGUUGUUUGGGUUUCACCAGGAAAUACUAAAGAUUCGUUGGUGGCUUGGAAUGGAUGCCAUAUGGAUGGUUUUCAUAAAAGAAUUUAGGAAAUGACAUUCUUUUCUAUGGCCUGGUCAUUAUGGAAAAGCAAGAACGAAAUUGUCUUCGAAGGGAAAGAGUGGGAUAUUAAUCAGUGUUUGGAAUUGGCAAAAAUUAGAGUUACUGCUUGAGCAAAUGCAAAGUAGCCUGGGGAGCACCAUCAAUUUUAGACAUUUAUAGACAAUUGUCACGCCGCUUUUGUGGAGGAGGGCGGGACAGCCCGAUGGCAAGGGCUUGAGGCUCGGGAGUGGACAAGCCAGCUCGAAGAGGGACGAGCAACGAGGGCUGGAACCCCGAUUUGGCGCCAAGGGACUUGAGACAUCGGCACCCAUGGGCGGAUGAGAGCGCAGGCCAGUUAUCAGAUUGGACACGUGGGCCAGCAGACAGGCAGUGUGCCUGGGCCAGCAGGCAGACGGGGUGCGCAGGCGUGCAGGAAAAUGGCGAGCAGCAGAGUUGGCAGACUGGCGCGCAGCGGGUGGGCGCGAACUGCCCAGGCAAUCUGCCAGAAGCGCGGGAAACACUAACCAACCCGAAACCUGCAGGGCAGCCGUUGCCUGCCAUUGGCAACAGUGCCAGGGACACAUCAGAGGGGCCCAGCAGAGCUCAAAACAGCCCCUAACCGUUGGGAACUGCCUUGUAGCAGCUCUAAGGGGUCCUAAGUUGUAUAAACCUCUUGAGUCCCCUCGUUUGAGAUUAAUGACUCUUAUAUUGAAAUUUCUAUCAAUAAAAGCUCUCUUUUUGUUCACUUAACUCUCUUGUGCUUGUCAUAAUCAAUCCUAACUAGCUAACUUGAGAAGGCUGCUAGCCUUUCUAACCCCUUUUAACGAUGUAAAGACUACGCCGCACGGGUCAAGAGAAAACCCCGUGACACAAUCACCUAGAUAAAGGCUGCAAAGGAAGACAAGGCAAGGAAGGGGCGACAUCAAAUAGGAAAAACCACAGCCAAGUUUCAUAAAAUUCAAUGUUAAUGGCUGCGUAGGGCCAAGGGGAUAGGUGGUAUCUUGAGGGACCCUUGUGGGGAAGCCAAAAUCACAUUCGCUAAGCCAAUAGGUAUGGCAGACUCUAAUCUUGCAGAGAUUAUAGCAGUAAGAGAAGCAUUGAUCAUUUUCAAUGCAUCAAAAUGGAAGGAUGAAUGUGGACUUGUUAUUGAAAGUGAGUCAAGCAAUGCCGUUAAGUGGAUUCAACAACCUGUUUUAGCUCCAUGAAGGAUUCGAAAGUGGAUGCUACAAAUUGAAAGAUUUAACGAAAAGCUAGCUGGUUGGAUCAUUCAACAUGUGAAAAAGAGGUAAAUCAUACGGCAGAUGCUUUGGCAAAAAAGAGGGGUGGAGCUGAAAUUAGAAUUAUUGCAAAUAUUCUUGUAAAUAUCCUUUCUUUCCUUGUGUGUUGAAUGGUUGCAUGAUGGUUGAGGAGUGCUGGAAAAGAAGGAUGAAGAUUGGUAAAAGAACAUGCUGGAUAUAUUACAUACAUAUCACCCUGUUUCUUGAGGAUAGAUUGGUGAUGAAUAAACCUGAUUAUUGAGGUGGGCAAGACAGGUUUCGUGAUGGGGAUUUUGGUUUUUUUUUUUUUUGAAUUUAAGUGGGUCCUUGAAUUUUGAUAUGAGAUGUUUUUGUAUAUGGGAUAGGAUACUAGAUCCUGUUCUCUGUUAAUUUGUUUUAGUGCAGUGGAGUGGUGAUGAUUGAUGUUCUUGUACAUGAGUAUAUGGGGAGGGGCUUUUGAUGCCUGCAUUGCUUUUUGCUUGUGCAAAAUGAAUGUUUUUUGUCUCGACCUAGGAUGUUUGCUCAAAGGUCUUUUGGGACAGGAUACUUUUGUAUAAGCCAACUUGAAAGGCUCUUUGUAAGGGGUAAAUUUCAUUCCCAGUAUUUAAUGAAAGCUUGCUUAUGAUUUUCCCAAAAAAAAAUCAUGAGAAUGCUAAUAGCUAAACAACAUCAAGAUAUAUUAAAUGUUGUCCUGAACAGAAGACAAUUGAGAGCAAUUGGAGGUGACAUAUGGGUUGUUAUUGAGUUAUUUCGGAUAGGAUCAAUGACUGCCACGUGUUGGCCCAAUUGAGAAACACACGGCCAUUUCAUUCAAUUGAAACUUCUGAUAAUUUAUUUUGGUAGAAAUGGGCAUAACUUUUUAAUCAUUUUUCCCUUUCUUCCGUUUCUUUGGCCUUUCUUAUUUUGCUUUCUUCAUUCUUUGGCUUUUAGAUUUUUUGCUUCUCCCCUCGAUUUCUCCAUCCUCCCUUUUCUUUUACUUUUCCCAUUCCUUUCAUCUUUUUGUCUUCUUUUUUCAUUGCUUUUUUCGUUUUUUACUUUUUUUUGGCUUCCUUAAAUUGUUUUGGUGUUUUUUUCUUUGAUUUGUUUAGUCUUUGAUUUGUUCAACCAUUGUUCUUCUUGGUUUUUUUUUUUACUUUUUUUUGGUUUUGAUUUGUGAUAUGUAUUCUUUUCUCUUUUUUUUUCUUUUUUGCAUUUCGGUUUGGCUGUUGUAUGAAUAUGUCUUGGUUUUGUGACUUCCAUUUUUUCUUCUGUUUUGAUCUGUGGUUUUUGUGUUGCUUUGGUUUGAUUGUGUUAAUUUGCUUUAUGUUUUAGUUUUUCAAGUUGUAUUUUGUUUUCAUGUACUCAUGGUUUGAUUUUUCUUUCUUGCAAGUUCUUUUGUUCGACUUCUGUUUCACUGUUAUUUUUCAAAUUUGAUUUUUCUUUUAUUUAUUCUCUUUUAGUUUUUAUUUAUGUCUUCUCAGUCGAUGCUUUUGUUUUCAAGUUUUUAAGUUGUGCAUGUAAUGUUUUUUUUAUUUGCCUGUUAUUAGAAAAUUAUGUGUCCUGCCUUUUUCUUUUGUUGUUGUUCUAUUAUUGGUUUCAUUCUCGCUUUUGCACCUUUUGCAGCUGACGGUUUUUGUCUUCUUAGAUAUUGCUGUUUCAUUUCCUUGGCUUUUGUUGGUUUUUUGUGUUAUUAGCUUACAUUUUUUUUAGCAUAUCUAUUUUUCUGAUUGUCAUGGUUUUUAUGUUUCUUCUCAUUCCAUCUGUCAAUGAGUUUGCUGAUUCCUUAGCCAAGUUCGGAGUAGGAAGAGAGCAGGAUAUGAUGGUUGUGCUUUGUGAUAACUAAGAAUGACUUGUCCAGGUACAUGGUUAAGAUUUUGCUCUGUUGCUGAUUCCUGAAGUGGCUGCUUUUAUUUGGUUUUUGAUUUUUUUUUUUUGUUUGUUGGUUUGCGUUGACGGGCGAUUCUCUUUGUGUGAUUUUGUCUUUGUCUUUUGAGGGCUGUCUGAUGGUCCUCCUUUGGUUUUGGUGGCUUUGUUGAGGUUUUGAUUUGUUUGUGGGUUCAUUGGUGUCCUGCUGGUAUUUUUUUUUGGGUGGAUUUAUGGAUCUGCAGGUGGUUGUUUUCACGCCAUUUAAUGGGCUGCUUGCUGUGGUUUUCUCUUGGUUUUGUGGCCUUUGAGAAUGUUGAUUUUCGCAUAAUUAUUAUAAGUUAAGAACAAAAAGGAGAAUGAAAAUUGAAAGGGAUUAUAGUGAGCAUUAAGGAGGAGAAAGAGAAAAUAAAAGAAAGGAAGGAGAGCUACUGUGUCGUGGUGCAAGAAGAAGACCAGACAUAUGCUGCAUGGUGAUAGAGCAGCUGUGGUUAAGGAGAGAAAUUCAUAAUAUGGACUAGCAUGGCGAUGUUACAAAUGGAAGAAAGGAUAUUUAGGUUUAGGGUGCUCAAUUUCCAAUUACACUUCUAAACAAGCUUUAUACGAGUAUUUAAUGGAAUCAAGUCUAAGUUUAUCUAUGUUUGAACUUUAUUAAAAUGAAUUCUAGAAUUUUGUUCAGGUUUGUGUGUUUAUCUGGUUAAACGAAUAUAAAUUAGUUUAACUUAAAUCUCUUCAAAAACUAUCUGUCUAAUGUAUUGAUUCACUUACAUUAUUAUCUAUACAGAUUUUAAAUAUUAAUAAUUAACCAAAUACUAACAAUUAUAUCAAAGUAAACUAGAUAUUAACAAAUCUAAUUUCAGAGAUAUAAAACAAAGUACCAUUACAACUUACAAAUGAAAAUUGAGCUGAAUAUAUAUAUUCUUCUUCUGUAAUUACAUCACAUGAACUGCAAAGGCUUAAUUACAUUAUCACACAGCAGCGACUCGGGCGAGGUGGUGGUGGACCAUGGGGACGUUGAGGAUGUGGACCAUGGUGUUGAUGAGGCCCAAACGGUGGUGCAUACGGCUGCGGCGGCCCUGAGUGUGGAUGAUGCGGUCCAUGUGGUGGCCCCGGGUGUGGGUGGUGUGGAGGAUGUUGCAUAUCUUCUUGCACUUACCUACUUAGCUCUUUCUCUUCCCUUCUUAUACUUUGAUGUGCAGCAAACUGUUCGAGAGAACUAACGAACAUAUAUUGUUCACUGCCGAAUAUAUAUACAUGAAAAGACAAAAAUGAAUCACGUUCUGGUUUUUCUAUUUAAGAUAUUUAUUUGUUGGUUUCUAAUGUAUAUUUAUGGUUAUGACUCUCAAUUGAUUUAAGGCCAAAGAGAAUUUUUGUAAUUUUGUUAAUGAAAAAGGAUAAGCCCAUCUGUCUCAAUUCUCAUCAUCUUCUCCCUGUAAAAGUUUCAUCACCGUCCGCGUCGUUGCUCAAGUUUAAACGUGAUCCUUAAUGGCCCACAUGCUGAUAAGAUAAGCUGGAGCUUUUGACUUUUUCUCUCGUAUGGGACACACUUGCUAGAAACAACAUGCAACACACGAGCUGAAUUGCAAUACGAGAAACAAUCUAGGUUGCUAUCAACAUUAUGAUUCCUUCUAAAUUUUAAUAUGCAGCAUCUAAUAUACAAAUUUUGUCACAUUGUUAAUGGGAUUGAUUUCAUUAGAAGUCUGUUAAAAAUACAUUUGACAGCAAUUUAAUUUAAAUGAUGAAAAAAUUUUCAGAUAACUAUAUUUUCAAACAAUUUUUGAUGGAAAGUUUCAUUUGAAUUAAAUAUACAAAAGAAUUGGAAUAUAUUUUUUUAAAAAUUUGCAAAAAAAUUUUUUUAUGAAAUUUUCAAUGAAACUUUAGAAAAUUUGAACAGAAAUUUUGAAUAUGGUAAAGAACAUGUUGACAUCAGACCAAAAUUUAUUUGAAUACUUGUAUAAAAUGAAGAGAAAAAUGACAAACCAUUUGGUUCGGUACUUAAAUUUUUGGAUUAGUGAUUAAUACAAGAGAAACAAUUCUCUUCUUUAUUUUCCUUUAUUUAUGUAUCCACAGAUGCCAAGAUUCAACUUAUAAUUUUUAGGAUAUCGAAAGUGGAUGGCUAUAAUUUGUUAAGCAGCACCGGAUAUAUCAAUAGAGCCUGAAAAUUUCACAUAUUGAAUGGAUACGAGAAGAAUGCAUUGUGCUGAACGGAUAUAUAUAUAUUUGACACUUCAGAAGAGGAGAAUUGGUUAAGGGAACGGGGCCUGAAAUCUCAGUUAAAUGAAUAAUUAAACUGAUCAAGAUUGAAAGUUAUGGCUUCGUUUCUAAUUAAUUGCAAUCCUCUGCUUUUAAUUUUAUAGAAAGUAAAUGUUGAUAUCACAUACUUUGUAAAAUACUUUCUAAUAUUUUACUUAAUCUCCCUGGGCCUGUAUCAGAUACAAGUGCAACCGAUGGAAUUAAGAAGCUCAAAUUAUAAGGUUAAAUUAAGAAGCUCAAAUUAAUUUGUAACAUGCUUUUAUAAUUUUAUCAGAUAUAUCGAAGCAAAAUGGAAAAGAACCCCACGGCUCCAGAAAAGAAUGUUAUGGAAUAUAAGCAGAGCAAAUCUUGUACAUAUACGGUAUUAGUCCAUAUACGUUUAUUUGAUUAACAUAGCAUAACACCCCGUACAAAUUAAGAUCAGGAUUUCACUUUUCACUACUACAAAACAUACAUGAUAUAGCAAACCAGCAUUUUAUUUUAGUAGAACGAUAGCAUUUGUGCAUGCUUAGCAACGUCCGCCAUGGCCGCCAUGCGAGCCACCACCAUGGUGACCAGGACCGCCUGCUGGAGGACCAUGGUGACCCGGACCACCUGCUGGAGGUCCAUGCUGACCCGGACCACCUGCUGGAGGUCCAUGGCCCCCCUCCGGGCCACAACCAUGACCAGGACCGCCUGCUGGAGGUCCAUGUUGGCCCGGACCACCUGGAGGAGGUCCAUGCUGACCGGGACCACCUGCUGGAGGUCCAUGGUGUCCACCGUGGUCGCCGCCCGGGCCACCUACUGGAUGUCCAUCAUGGCCUGGUGGAGGUCCUUGGGGACAGGGAGGAGGCGGAGCCUGAUGCUGAUGAAUCCCUGGUGGUGGAGGUCCGUGAGGAUGAUCGUGCAUCUUAUCUGCUGUUGUAGUUGGUAUCGUUCUCUGCUUUGCUUCUUGCUGGUGCGGUGAAACGGUUUGAGAGGACUAUUGGAUUUAUAGUAGUGCGGUCCUUGUUUUCAUUAUUUUUUGGCCAGAAUGGUCCCAGACUUGCAGAUAAGGUUAUUACCAUGAGAACUUUGGUCGGAGGUUGUUUAAUGCAUACCUUACACGUUGUUGACGUGACCAUUUGUUGGGAUAUUUCCAUUGGUAUGUGGUUGUUAUUCUCCAUUGACAUGAUGAGGCCAACAACCUUAUCUUUC